rnacentral:lncRNA from 1 species
AAUACAUUUAUAAUAAAAUUUAACAAACGCACGUACAUUACUUUUAAAUUUUACAGCAACUGCGACAACACAGCUUACUAAACACUAAGGAGCUUUUUUAAUUAGCUGUUUAUUGCAUCCGUACAGUAAAAGUAACUUAUUUAAUUAACAAUUGCAAUCCCAAAGUGGCUCUUUGUCCUCGUCCCAUCUCCUAACCCGACAAAUAAAUUGCCUUUAAGCCACCAAAACUAUUUGAAAAUUUUUGGGCAAUGGAAAAUGCUAUUUCCACAAAAUCAAAAGAAAUUAAUUUUCCUAUGUUGGAUUAAUACAUAGUGUUGGUUCGAUUUAGAAUUAAUCCAUAAUUUGGUUCCUUUUUUUGGUUUUUUAAAGUUCAUUCAUUUGUAUUUUGUGAUUUUUUUUAUGUUACGUUUACUAAUUCUUAAUUGGAAUGGAUGGAAUCAGAAUGUUAAUUGAUAAUCAUAAUAAAUUUUGUUAUUUUACUUAUUAAAAUUGGAAUCAAAAUGAGUUGUAUUACUAUUAAUCUGUUUAUUUUGUUUUGGAAUCAAAAUAGAUUAUUACAAGUUACUAAAAUAACCUAAGUUGAUUAUUUUCAUUAUUUAUUAUAAUAAUUGUGAUUAUGAUUUUUAUCAUUCAAUAUAAUUAUUGUUAAUAAUAAUAAUAAUAAUAAUGACGACAAUGAUAUAUUAUUAUUAUUAUUAUUAUUAUUAUUAUUACUACUACUAGUACUAUUAUUAUUGUAUUACUAAUGAUAAAUAAUUUAGGACCUAUUUGCAAGUGGCAAAAAUUAAUUUGGGUAAUUUAAAAAUUAUAAAAAAUUUAAUGGGGUAAAAUAAAAAAUUUAAGAAAAGAAAACUUGAUUCUCAACAUUCUUUAAUAGUUAAUUCAAAAAACAUACGAGCCUCAUAUAUUUCAUUCUCAUUCACACUUCUACUUUAACAAAUAAACGCUAUCAACCAUUCUCAUUUCAGAUUCUGAUUCAUCAAUCCUACAAAUAAACACACCUUUAAUAUGAAUUGAUUGAUUUUUAUUGAUUUUUAUAACCAAACCACAUCAACUUGAAUCAUUGGUGCCAUUUGGUCUUUUAGUGGGCAUCGAUUUUUUCUGUCCACCCUNNNNNNNNNNNNNNNNNNNNNNNNNNNNNNNNNNNNNNNNNNNNNNNNNNNNNNNNNNNNNNNNNNNNNNNNNNNNNNNNNNNNAUGGGUUGAAUAUCUCUAUAUUUUGUGUUUUUAUUUCUAUUUAUGUGCACUUUGUUAUUUAGUGAAUCUCAAUUAGUAACAAAUUACCCAUCAAAUAAUUUUUUCUAUUACAUCCAUUUUCAUCUCUUUAUUAUACAUAUAUAUUCUUUAAGUAAUAUGAUGAUAAUCCGACUUCUUUCACACCAAUACAAACGAGAUUGGAACCUCAUACUUUAAUACAUACUAUCAUAAAAAAUUUUACAAAUCGAACAACUAAGCACUCACAAGUUUUUGUUUCACUUACCUUGAAUAAUAUCUCAAGUAAAUGAAAUAUAUUUUUAAAAACCCUAAACUAUACAUGUCGUCAUUUUCGUGAAAAGAAUGUAUCAAAGCACAAUGAGGAUGCCAUUGGUGAUGCAAAUGAGAGGAGAGAUUCACACCAAACGCCUCUAUUUUGAUAAUAAGUGUUAAAAAUGAGAAUUUUCCAUCUCUUGUGCAUCAAUCAUUAGCAUUCGUCAUCACUAGUCGUUCAUGUUCGAAUUCUUUAGUAGCCUCAUUAAUCUGAUGUAGGAAGGUAAAUUAAUUUAUUUUAGGUAAUUUGGGAUUAUAGAAUAUUUAUUGUUUUAGGAAUUUUUAUUUUAGUUUAAGUCAAUUAUGGUAUGUGUCAUAGUCUUUUAUUUCUAUAAUAAUUGUGAUUUAGUUUUUCUUUUUAGGUUAACUUAGAAAAGUGAAUUUCCUCUAUUAUAACUUUGCCAUUGUUUUAAAAAAGUUCAGAUUCAAUUAUUCAAUAAAACUCCCCUUUUAUAAUUCCAUCUAGGAUUAUCUAUCAAAGAUUCAAAACUUCUCUUGUAGAGUCGUUUGGAUUAGAACGUCAUCUAAUCUCGCUUUAUGCAUUAUUAAAAAUCUCAUUAACCUCAUUCAGAAUCAUGCUUCGAUUAGAGCGUAACCUAAUCGCGUUGGCUCGGUCCAAUACUAAAACGAUAUCUAGUAUUUUUAUCUAAUCAAUCCCACUUCCGCUAUGCCUCGCCCCAUCAAUUGGUAUCAGAACAAUUCUGUGCGAAUCGUACAGCUUUCCUGGAUACCCCAUACCCCUCCAUACCAAAUCCACCGUUGAAAAAAAAAAAAUCAAAAAUCCCCAAAUUUUAAACCCUAACCGCCGCACCCCCACCACAGCCGCCGCCACUACAACCACACAACACCACUGUUUAGCCAGCCAACACAGCUGCCAACCUCGCCAGCCUCCGGCGACCAAACCCAAACCCAGCCCGUUCUCAACGCCGCCUACAACCACCGCGAAAAUACCCAAAUCCGCGCGACCUCAACCAUCCACCACCGUGAAAUCACCGCCUAUUUCCGUCAAUCGUUGCUGCUGUUGUAAUCCCCAACCACCGCCGAACAAAACCCGAUCAACCACCAUCCUUAAACACCCCCACAACUGCCGCACGAAAGCACUUAAACCUGCGGCUUCAUCACUCGAUCCGCCACCGUAAGCCACCCCACCAUCGAGCACCACCACCAAAAGAAUCUCCAUCCUCUGCCGAACAAAACCCGGCCAUCAACAUCACAAAUCGCCCAUAUUAACCAUCAGGCAAACAACCCUCAAACCCGCAAGCUUUACCUCUUCGAUCUACACCCACCACCGCGGAUCUGGCCAAUCCACAACCACCAUCGAGUUCCUCAUCACCAAAUCUUUCAGAUCCGAUACCCUCUGGUCCCAAUCACGGGCACCGACCGUUGGCCAUACCAAACCCGAGAGUUGAGCCUUAAUUACGAUUUUGCCAUUGUGUGGAAACUUGGCAAUAAAUGGCAAACUACCGUUAUUGCCCUAUCAUGUGCCGUUAUUAUCUGCAUACACUUAUUCGGAUAAAUUUCUUGAAUGAUUGGACAAGAUUCAUCACUGGUUUCUAUUUCGGCGUACUCCCAAAGAAAAGCAAGUAUCAUUUGUUGUUAGUAGAUUAAGCAUAAGUGCUUCAGAAUGGUGGGAUGAGUUGCAAACUUCUCGAAUUGACAAAGGCAAAUGCAAAGUUUGAUCAUGGAACCGUAUGAAGCGUAUUUUGCAAUCCGAGUUUAUCCCUCUUGAUUAUUGUUUGGUACAGCAAAGUACGAGAUCCAUUUCUUCUCGUGCUUAUGAGUUUGAACGAUUUUAUGGAUGCAAUUAUUACUAUGAGUCUGAAGAGAAUACAGUUACAAGAUUUAUUAAAGGGCUUGAUUUGCAUAUUCAAGAAAAGAUGCCUACAUACACUAUCUACAAUUUACAGCAUGCAAUUUAUUUAGCCAAGAAAAUCGAAUCGCAAAUUGAGUCACAACAUUAAAGAAAGUUUGAUGAUGUGAAUAAACAAAUUGACGAAAUCUAGAAUUUAAUCAAGGAAUUGCGUGUUUCUAUGAAAGUGCCUAGAGAUGUACCAAAAGUUCUCCUUUCGUUGAGGAAGAAGACUCGCGUGAGAUACCGCAGGAAAAUGUACAAUUUAUCAUUGAUUUGAAGUUUCAAUCUGACAAUUUGUGCGAGAAUGUGCAUGAUGUUUCCUUGGAGGACAAGAGCGAGAAUUUGCAUGAUGUUUCCUUGGAGGACAAGACGAGUGUUGAAGAUGAUGAAAUUUUUUUUCUCUUUGGGAUUUUUAAAGAAGAAGAACAAUCUCAUCUUGAUUUAAGCAGCGAGCCUAAUAGUAUGAUCGAGAUCGUGCCGCAAAAUCAAGUUGAAGAAGUUGAAAUGAUUGAAAUGGUUUUACCUAUUCACAUUGAAGACAAGAAGAUUGUGCUUGAAGAAGAUUUGAUUGAAAAUGUGAAAUUUAUUGGAGAGCGCAUUGAGCGGCAAUUGAGGAAGGGCAAGAGUUAUUUGAUCGUUGUUCGUUCUUGGAAGUCGUCAUCGGCUCAAAGAAUGUACAAGCGAAGGAAGUUGAUGAAGUUUGGAUACUUCAAAGUUUCGAGGAAGAUUGAUGAGCAAGGCUACAAGUUUGAAUUACAAGAUGAUUUGCUCCUACACUAUAAGUUGCAUCCUCCAGACUGUAUUCAAACUCGAGGACGAGUUUCUUUUAAGAGGGGGAGAAUGAUGUAGGAAGGUAAAUUAGGUUAUUUUAGGUAAUUUGGGAUUAUAGAAUAUUUAUUGUUUUAAGAAUUUCUAUUUUAGUUUAAGUCAAUUAUGGUAUGUGUCCUAGUCUUUUAUUUCUAUAAUAAUUGUGAUUUAGUUUCCCUUUUUAGGUUAACUUAGAGAAGUUGGUUUCUUCUAUUAUAAAUAGAGAAACCUUGUCAUUGUUUUAAAAAAGUUCAGAUUUAAUUAUUCAAUAAAACUCCCCUUUUAUAAUUACAUUUGGGAUUAUCUAUCAAAAUCUAUCUUGUAGAGUCGUUUGGAUUAGAGCGUCAUCUAAUCUCGCUUUAUGCGUUAUUAAAAAUCUCAUUGAGUCGUCUUGAUUAGAACGAUAUCUAAUCACGCUUCAAUUAAAGGGUAACUUAAUCGCGUUGGUUUAGUCCAAUACUAGAACGAUAUCUAGUGUUUUUAUCCAAUCAAUCCUACUUCCGCUAUGCCUCGCCCCUUCACCAUAUAAAUUAAAUUAUUUAAUGUGAAAUUAAAGAAUGUAGGGUGGUCCCCUCCCCCUGCUAUUUUUGGUUUAUUAUGUAAUAAUGCUUAUGGGAUUGUACACUCCCGUUUAGUGUUGCAUUAGCUCUUCGUGAGCCCUUCUUUAAUAAUAAAAAAAAAAUGUUGGGUGGGUGUAUAAUAAAAGAAGCGGGAGUUAUGUAAUAAAAAAAAAUUACUUAUUUGUAGAUUUGACUUGAGGAUAAAGGGGCAUGUGAGUGAUGUCAGGGUUGAGCUUAAAAAAGGCCCAUACGAGUGGUCUUCAUGGCUCAAAUACCUUACGUAGCCCACUUAUAAAAUUGGGCCUUCAAAAGAGUUUUAAGUCAACAACUGUUGAACUUGUUCAUUUUCAUCCUACCUUGUGACAUGUUUUGGUUUUUUUUUUUUUUGGUUAAUCUCUCUGAUUCUUUUUAGUUUUUUAUUUAUUUAUUUUUAAAUAGAAUUUUAUGCUAAUUAGUAUAUUAUGAAUAUUCCUAUUCAAAUAUGUACAUGGGUAAAGUGGAAUGCUUAACACUCGGUAACAAUGAAAAUAGUAAUAUUAGUAAUCAUUUGACAAGUUUCAAUUUAUAAUCUAAUAUGUAGCUUGGUGCUUAGGUUCGGAUGUUCAGAUGAAUUUAAAAUACAUAGUUAAAAGAUAAGAAAAAUAUGAACUAGAAUGCACUAUUCUUGUCUUUAGUGUAUCGAAGUUUAUAUCUUCUUUUUCUUUUUUAAUCUUUCAACUGCAUCUUGAUAAUUUUAAAAUAUGAACGUCAGCAAUUAAGCAUGACUCAUCAUAUGCUAUAUUAAUUUAAAUAUACAUUUUGCAUUAAAAAAUAAACAAUAAUAAAUUCUAGUUUGUAAUCAACCCUUCUAAUAAAAGACUUGUUUAAUAUAGUAGUAAGGAUCCUGCAACACCAUCAUUAUGAAUUUUAAUUUGACUUUUAAGAAUGGACAAAGAUCCUCUUUUAAUAAUUUUUUCCCCUAAUAUUUUCAAGUGAAAUAAGUGGUUAAGAUUGAAUUUUAAAAUUUGAUAUUGACAAUCAAGCCAAAUUUUUUUUCACUUUAUUUAGAAAUAAAUUUAUAAAUAUUGAAGGACUAAGAGAGAUUAAAAGAGAUUGAAAAAAAAAGGAGAGAAUUCUAAUCCUUGAAGAACAAACCCAAAUUCUCUAUCCUAUCAAAUGAAAUUCUAAUGCAAAAUAAAGAAAAAUGAUGGGUAAAAAUCAGUGCUCUAAAAGUGAGCGGAGAAUUGAUUCUUCUUCCUUUACUUUAUAAAGAGAUGGUGCUAAUAAUAAUAGGAAAAAAAACUAACACACCCCCAACGUUUAGACAAAAGGACAAAAACCCCCUAACGUUUCAAAAAAGACAUUUACACUCUCAUUCACUAACGGAAACAGUUACUUUUAACGGAAAUAGUAAUUUUAAUAUAUAAUUACCGUUAUUCCUUUCUAGCACAUAAAAAAUAAAUGUUAAUUGUCCAAUUUAUUCAUAUAUUGUUAAUAAAAUUAUAAAUAUACCCUCAUUACCCAAUUCCUCUAUCUAAAUUUUUAUCAAAUUCUCUCUUCAAGCCAAAUAAAUUUAAUCCAUUACCCAAGAAUAUAAAUAAAUAAAAUUAGUUAUUAAUGCCAUAAGAAUAACAAUUAAAAUUUAAAGUAGAUAAUUAACAAUUAAAAUGUCAAUAAUUUAAACUUGUAUAAUCAACAAAAUAAAAAAAGGCUGGUUACAACAAUAAUUACAAAACAUAUUAUUUUAAUUGUAUUAAAUAACAUAUCCAAUAGACAUAAAAAUUGAUAAUGAAUUAAAUUUAUUUGGCUUGAAAAGAGGAUUUGAUAAAAAUUUAAAUAGAGGAAUUGGGCAAUGAGGGUAUUGUUAGAGUGCAAUUUAUGCACUAGUUUUGCAUUGUUUACUUCCCUUAAUAUCGAUGUUUUGCAUUUAAUAAUAGUGAUUUACUUUUGUAGGUGCAAUUCUAUUGAUUGGUGAUAAAAUUGAGCUACAAGAUGAUGUUUAGGGAUGAUUGUUCCCUUGGAGAAAUUAUGAGCGGCAGAAGAACUUUGUUGAUAAGGCGUAGGCGCGUGCUGUCAAUUGCGGACCUGCAGUUUUUAGUUUAACGUGUUUUAUAUUUUGGCUAUUUUUGUAAUUACGAAUUUAAUAUUUUAGAUAUUAGUAUUUUAUUUUAAAUAGAACUCUAAAAGAGAAGAGAGAGAGAGUAUUUAAGGGAGGAAUCUAUUGUGAAAAAGGGGGAUUUUUGGAUUGGAGAAAAAGAAAGAAACCCUAGAUCUUAAUUUUUCUCUUCUCUCUAUGAAGAACUAAACCUAUUUUUCUAGUUGAAGGAUAAUGAAGCUUUGAUUCAUCACUACUGUGAGAUCUUUCUUGUGCUUUAAUUGUUUUAUUGCUUUUUGGGUAUUUGUUUAUUCUCUGAAUUAUUUUUAUGAUUAUGUUUGUUAAUUAGGUAAUUGGCCACUAUUUAAUUAUCAACUUAAUCUAUUGUCAAUUAAAGGAUUCAUCGUAUAAAGAAUUUAAUGUUUGUGACAAAUAACAUAGCAGAGAGUUGUGUUGUGAGAAUAAACAAUCUAAUUUAAAUGAAUCAUCAUAUGUGUUGAUUAUGAUUUGGGUCUCUCUGGUUUUUCAGGCUGUCAAUUGAUUAAAUCCUAUGAUCGUAUCUAGAGUUGUCUAUUGAUUAGGGAAAUAACCAACGGUCGUACCUUGGUUAUCCACUAGUUAAGGAGAGAUUGGUUAUUAGAGGGUCUCAGUAGCUAUAACCGGUCUAUUCAUGAGUAAUAAUAAUCUAUAUUUGAAUCAAUGAUCAGUAGUCGAAUCAAGCUGAGUUAAUUCCUUCAACCAGAGCUUUCUCCAAUUUGAAUUACAACUUUAAUUUGCAUUCUUGUUAUUUUUAAUUUGAUUUUUAUUAUUGUCAACAAUUCCCCCAUUUUACAUUUUACGUUUCAAAAGGAUUUAAAUAAUUACCGAUCUCUGUGGACACGACCCUACUCAAUCACUAUACACAAUUUAUUUAGAGUAGGAAUUUAUUUUUGUUGUUAUUUUAAUUGUAUUAAAUAACAUAUCCAAUAGACAUAAAAAUUGAUAAUAGAUUAAAUUUAUUUGGCUUGAAAAGAGAAUUUGAUAAAAAUUUAAAUAGAGGAAUUGGGCAAUGAGGGUAUAUUUGUAAUUUUAUUAACAAUAUAUGGACAAAUUACAUAAUUAACAAUUAAUUUUUUAUGUGUUAGAAGGGUAUAAUGGUAAUUAUAUAUUAAAAUUAUUAUUUCUAUUAAAAGUAACUGUUUCCGUUAGUGAAUGAGAGUGUAAAUAUUUUUUUCGAAACAUUAAGGGUUUUGUCUAAACGUUGAGGGUGUGUUUGUCAUUUUCCCAUAAUAAUAUACUUAAACAAAGUUGUAGUAGGUGAAAUACUAACUAGGCAACCCAAGAUGGGGGGGGGGUGAAUUGGAAUUUUAAAAAUUAUCCUAGGCAAGCCACACAACAAUUUAAUCUAAUGCCUUGAUAAAUUCGAAAACAAUAAAUUUAAUAAAAGCACAAUAAUAAAUGAGUAAGGGAAGAGAAAGCAAACUCAAGGAUUUUUAAGUGGUUCAGCAAUCCCCGCCUACGUCCACGCCUCCAAGCACACCGGGCUUGAGGAUUUCACUAUCCAAGCCUUUCCAAGCCUUCAAACGUUUACAAUUGACUUCAAGGUGUCAAUAAACCUUUACAACAAGAGAUUAUCUCUCCAAUCUCUUCACUCCAAGUGUUUCUCACACUUGUACUCUCACAAUUUGAUGAGAAAUAAAAAAUACAACAAUCAAACUCUCUUUAAGAGUGGAUAUACAAAUUGAAGAACAAAGAUGAUUUAAUGAAUGAUGAUUCACGAAAUUGAAGCUCAAUAUAUGUUGUGUGCACUUGUUUUUGCUUGCUUAGAUUUCCAAAAAUGAAUUGGUUUUGAGUUUAUAUAGUUUGAGCUCAAAAACUAGCCGUUAUGCACAUUUUGGUCGUAACCGGAUUGCCGGUUAUGGACAUCCAGAAUUUCGCUUAAUGUUACCGUUACAGCCACAAUUUUGAAUUUUUGAACAUCCGGAUUGCCGCUUUGUCAAAUCCGGAUUUCCGCUUAUGCUCAGUAGCUUACUGCCCAACAAUCGAAUUUCCGUUUGUCAGGAUCCGGUUAGCCGCUUUCAAUUCGGAUAGAUUCUGCCUAAAAUCCGGACUUUCGUUUGUCAGAAUCCGGAUAGCCGCUUGCUACAGUAACUACUAUAGUGAAAUUUUCCUAAAUUUACAGUGAAACUUUAUAAAACUUUAUAAAAUUGUUAGAAGGGUAUAAUGGUAAUUAUAUAUUAAAAUUUACAAUUUGACCCCAAAAUUUUAUAAAAUUUACAGUUUGACCCUAAAACUUUAUAAAACUAUAGUGUGACCCAAAACGUUAUGAAAUUUUUUAAAAAGGUCCAAUUUCAGAAUUUUAGAAUAAUGCUUUGUCAAUCCCACAACUUUAUGAAAUUAUGACUUCACCCAAACUAUGUGAAAUUAUAGAAUUACCCAAAAUAUUUAAAUAGUUUCAAAUAGGUCCAAAUCUGAAAUUUCAAGCAAUAUUUGUUUAUUUCAAAGUUUUCAAAAUUCUUUCAAUUAAACCAUAAACUUUGAAAAACAACCAAUUUCAUAAAAUCAUUUUUCCAUUAAAUAUGAAACAUUUAUAAUGUGAAAAUAAUGAUUUAUUUAAAAAGAAUAAAAACAAUUAAUUUCAUAAAAUCAUUUUUCCAUUAAAUAUAAAAUAUUUAUAAUGUGAAAAUAAUGAUUUAAAAGAAUAUUAAAUAAUUUGGGCUUAAAAGAUUUAUCAUUCUUAAUCUUGUUUGUUAUCAUCAAAAUCAACAUUAUGAAAACAUAUAUGUUAACGGUAGAGAAUAAACAUAGCAUGCUAAAGCCUAAUAAUAACUAAUAAUGGGAAGGGAUGCAGCCUGCCGUAGCAUGAAAUUGAAAUCAGUCUAAUCAGGCUAAUCAAUAUCUUGUGUGGUAGUCUUUACACCUUCAUUCCAUCUUUUAUUUGCUUACUUUUCCUAUGAAGAAAAAAAAAAAAGGAAAAAAGGCAGAUUUUUAGCUACCAAUCAAAUUCAACACCCCCGGUACCUUUCGAGAGAAGUGGACAUCUUUAACAAUUUGGUGGCUUUUUUUUUAAUAUUUGAAUACACUUAAAGUAAUCUGAAUUAUAAAUAAAGUUCAAUGUCUGAAUUUAAAUAAUAUAUUUUUUAAAAUUGUUAAAAAUAAGUAUUAAAAUAUUUUUAAUUUAAAAAAUCCGAAAACUAUUAUUUUUACAUUUGUGCCCUUAUAAAUGUGAAACAAAUAAUCACACAUAUUAAAGAAUACAAAUAAAAUAAUAUAUUAUGAACACAAAAAAAUCAACUCAAUUGAUUACAAUUCUUUAAUAUUCUUAAUUAGUACAUGUUAAUUGAUUUUAUUGUAAUUUACGAUGUUUUUAUAUUGUUCAUAAAAAUAUAUGAAGAUAAUAAUGCUAAUUUGAAGAAAAAAAAAGAUAAAAUAAUAAUAGUCUAUCAUUACAUCAACACAAGUUAUUGAGAUAGAUAAUAAUGUUAAUUAUUAAAUUUUAUUCAAGUAAGGAAGAAAAUCGAUUAAUUAAAUUGGGAUAUUUCGGAGAAUAUCUUUUAAUGAUUAUCAUUAAGACUUUUUAGAUCAAGCAAAAAGCUAAAAAAAUUAAUUUAAUAACUUAAUGAUUUAAUGACUGAAAAUUUUUGUUAAGUUGAAAAAACAAACGGACUUAAUGAUUUAAUUGAUUGAAUUUACGUUAAUUAAGCCAUUAAGUAAAAAAAAACAAACAGGCCCCUCUUUAGCUUUGCUUUGCGAGUGGUGUUGUUUACAGCACUCAAAAUCUUGAUAAAACCCCUCUUUUAAAUUUACAAUUGUAACCUCAAUGGAAAAUUAUAAAUGACAUUAAAAGACAAAGACAGGAACUCAUCUGUGCUCAAUUCUUCAUAAUCUUCUAUCACAAAUACAUGUACAUUAAUAUUUGGCUAAGAUUUAAUUAGGUUUAUAUUCUUAUCUAAUAACUAUCAAUUAUAUUUCUAAAACAUUAGCAAAAAGUUCAAUUCAAUACUGAAUUUAAAUCCUAUUAUUACGUGUGGCCUUUGCAGUACUUUAUAAGUUUUGGUUGGUCUCUUCAAGAACUAUUACAUAGUUUAUGAUUUUAUCUCUUGUUUGGUUGUUGAUGUUUUUUUAAUUUUGAUAAUACAUGUAACUUGCAAGUAGUUUGAGGUUUUUUUUUUUUUUUUUUUCAUUUGCACAAUGAUCUAAAAGAAUAAAAAAAUGAAAAAGGUCAAGAGGAAAGUUAGGUAUCCCAAUAUUCAUGUCCUAAAGUAAGUCUCAACUAAUAUAAUGUUCAUCCAUUGAAUGAUAGUUAAAUAAAUUUAGAAGUUAUGAAUUAUAUUAUUUAAUAAAUGAGUGACACAUGAUAUUUGGAUUUAAGUUGAGAUUCAAAUAUUGGGAUAUCUAAUAUUAUUGAAAACUUAAUACAGUAACACUGGCCAAGUUUGAAUAUUCAUCACACCCAAGUAACAGACAAAUUGAAUACAUACCUCAAGAAGAUCCAACAAUAAUACAUGUCAUGCUCUUAUUUUAUCAUAAGUGGCUAGUAUAAUUAAUGAAAGUAGCAGUGUACCAUACUUUCUGAUUUCUCAAUCUUGAUUCUUCUUCCAUACAGCCGGCUUGUCAGAAGGAUAAGGGAAAUUUUUCAGAUUGAAGCAACGACUAACCUCUGCAUAACGUAGUAUAGGCAUAUCCUUCAGCAAAACAUUCCAAUCAAGAAUUAAGUUUGGCAUGAACUUUAAACAUAGACCCUCAAGGACCCAUGUGGUGCCAUUGCUAUCCUGAUCAGAUUCAGAACUGCUUUCGAAGUUGCUGAUGUCUCCAUCCUCAAGACAGAGAUAUUGCAGGCUUGAGAGGUGCUUAAGAUUAAUCCAUUUUGGCAGAAUUUCGUGGCGGUAUCGCCUGAGGUAAAGCUCCUGAAGGCUCGGAGGAGGCAAAAGCCUAUCCAACAUCUGUGAUACAUGUUUUUCUUUGCAAUCCUCUGCAUCAAUAGCUAAAAUUUUGAGUUUCUCGAGCUGUGAUAAGACAUUCCAUUCAUCUUCCGAGAUUUCACUCUCAUUAUUUAUGGACAUUCGUAGAACUCUUAGCUGCUUCAGUCCCAGCAGGGCGUUAAGUCGACAGCCUUGUGUGUUAGACUGACUCGCCACCCGAAAUCCAGACAGCUCCUGGAGAUAAAUUAGCUUCUCGAGUCCACGAGGUAGAUACUGGAGAGGACAAGAUCCGAGGUCCAAGAUGAUCAACUUCUUCAAACUAGUAAUUGAUGGAUGUAGUUUGGUGCACCUCCUCAGAACAAGUAUUUGGAGAUUACGAAGCUUUUGAAUUGAAGAUGGGAGCUCAAUAUUGCCUGCAACUCCGCUUAAGUUGAGACAUGCAAGGCGUUUAAGUGAAGAGAUCUUAUCCAAUAGAUCCUCAACAUUAAUUUGAUCAAGCUUACAGUAUGAGAAAUCCAGCACCCUCAGUGACAUGAGCGAUUUCACAUUCCAAAGGGAAACUGGAGUGCUUGAUUGCAGUAUCAAUGCCCUGAGCCUUGAACUUUUUUUCAGGGAUUUUGGAUCCAUGUCACUGUUGAAACCGAACCAUCGCGAGUCUUGUGUCAAUUUCUGCCUGCCUUCUUCAUCAAAGCUGCAAAAAGCCUCAUCUUUUGCAAUCUGAAUGGUCAUAUCCCUGACCAGAUCGUGCAUCUUGCAACUAUAGACCCUGCCAUCAUAGCCUCUUCGAUGCACAACUUCAACCAAGCAUCUGCUUACUAGCUCUGAAAGAUAAUCAAAGCCUAAUUCCGUAGCAGUCCGAUUGUCCCUGCCCCGGAUGAGUCCUUCUCCCACCCACCAAUGUACCAUCUGUUCACCACUUAUCUCAAAGUCGUCGGGAUAAACAGAGAAACACAAGAGGCACUGCUUUAGAUGUGUGGGGAGUUCAUCAUAGCUCAGUCGUAGAGAAGCCACCACUGAAUUGUUCUCUCUUUCGGUUGUCAAAUAUACAUGAAAAUCAUCAUUGAUUUUAUUCCACUCACUAAGGGAAUGGACUUUUGGAGCAAGCAAGCCUCCUAUUGUCUUGAUUGCCAGCGGUAGUCCCCCGCAUUUCUUCAAGAUCUCUCUACCUUUUUUUUCAAACUCCUUAUUGGGGCAUUUUCCCUUGCCCGUUAAAAAUGCAUGCUUGCAGAGUAAUGACCAACUCUCCUCUUCAUUUAAAAUUUUUGGGCGAUGAAUUCUUGACUCAUCAACUCCCAUACUGUUGACAACGGUUUCAUUUCUAGAUGUGAUGAUAACGAAGCAUCUUUUUUCAGUCGGAUAUAAAUUCUUCCACCAAUCUAGAUUCAUUCUCCACACAUCAUCCAUUACAAUGAGACAGGUCUUGUCACUGAGCCUCUGUUGAAUUUUGUGCAGCAAAUGACUUUCUUCAAUUCCCGAUUCAUCCUCUCCCAGCUGUUUCAACAUGGCCCUCAUGACUCGUUCCUCGCUGAAAUUCUGAGAAACUGGCACCCAUAUCCUCUUCUCAAGGUAUGCAACCAUCUCUCUAUCAUUGAAUAUCUUUUGGGCAAUGGUGGUUUUGCCUAAACCACCCAUACCCACAAUACCGAUUUGCUGAAGCUUCUCAUUACUGCUAAGGAUCCAUCCUUUAAUCUUUUCCAAGUCCUUCUCCAAACCGAUUAUUUCAGAUGGUUCCUGGUCCUCUGGGGAAUAUUUAAAUAUUUGGUAUGAUGAAUUAUUGGGCCCCUGCUGGAUGAUUGGCUGUUCUGCUCUUCCAUACACCCCCAAGCUAGACUCCAUUUUCUCAAUCCGUGAAUUGAUAUGCUUCAAAUCCUUGCCUGUUUGGUAUAUGAAAAACAAGUCACGAAGUGAGAACCUGUGGCAAAACCCAUCUUUCCGAUAUUCAUCUCUAAUUUGGCAAUCCGUCAUUAUGUCAUCAGCUUCAUAAAUUAUUUUUCUCAGGUUAGGCAAGAUCUUCUGCAUGAACUCCCCCCGAGUUUUCUGCUUAUCAGUGCAGGAGAUGAAGGCAGUCAUUAGCUCAAGCUUUGUCUUCAUUGCCUCCAGCUGAUCUUUAAAAUCAAGUGCGUACUGAGCUUGAGUCAGCAAAGCAGAAAACACUUUCUCUAUCAAUGUCCCAAUCAUCGCCUCUGUCGCUUUCGACGCCGCCAUAGCCUCGGGCAAAUGUUCCCUGUUAAUUUCAUGUUCAUUAUCAUCUCAGUAAAGUAUACAUCUUAUGAGCUCGUAUGGGCUUCUGCUACAACCAUACAAUCAUGACACUACUAGGAGGGACAAGACAAAAUAUAUAAUGGAUUCAUCUCACUUCCAUGGGACUUGACAGAACAUCUAUCAGAAUAGUGAAGCCACCCAACAACAUUGAUCAGAGUAAAAUUGUGUCAUAUGCGUGAAUCGACAGAAUGAUACUAGUCAGAACAUAAUGAUGUAUCGAACAAAAAACUGAGAAUUGAAGCUAAGGUCUAGCUCAAAACUGAGAAGUGAAGCUAAGGUCUAGCUCACUUACUGAGAAGUGAAGCUAAGGUCUAGCUCACUUUCUUAGGACUCAGGUCUUACGUUCGAGCUUCAAUAGAACAAGUACAAUAAUUAAUUGCUAAGGUCGCUCCAGUAGUAAAAGCGACUUUCCUAAGACUCAGGUCUUAGCUUCGAGCUUCAAUAGAACAAGCUACGAAUUGGUUCUCUGCGUAACCAAGGAUCCAAUACAAUAAUUUAUUGAAAAUAUAUUUAUCAUAACUUUAAAAUUAAGUGAUACGACGGCAAAUAUUAACUUGAUAAAAGAUCAUCAUCAACCAUCAAAUUCUAUAAACAAGUUUAGAAAUUUUCAUGUUUAAAUUCACAUCAAUCAGAGAUUUAGCAAUGGCAUGGGUGAAUCAUAAAAGGGUUUUAAGCAGAAGCACUUACUGGAAUCCUGAAAGUGUGUGUAUCUAUAUAGCUUGGAAGGGCUGAACAGAGAGUAUGCUGGAACCUGAAACCCAAAAAACAAAUUGAGUUUUAACAGUCAGAGUAGACUGUUCAGCUGAAUAUAACAGAGUACCAUGUAAACAAAUUAUUUUUAUUUUUACUUGUAAUUCCUAGCUGGCUGUUCAACGUUUCAGUUCGCUUAAUCACUCACUAGCUCCUAUCUGGCUCUGCUAAUUUGAUUUCUAUUGCCGAUAUUUAUUAUAUAGGAGAAGAGAUGCCAGAAUUGAUCAAAUAACAAGCCACCUGCGCUUUGUAUUUUGAGGGUACAAGAAAAGAAGGUGAAAAAAAAUAUUUUGACUGAUUAAUUAAAGUUGAAUUGGUUAAAGUUGAAAGCUGUUGGAAUUUGGAGAUAAGAAGCAUUUAUAUCCUCUUCUCUUCACAACAAUCAAAUUUUGUUUAAUUAAAUAUCAUAACAAUUAUAUUUUUAAUUUUAACAUAUUAUAAAUUUAUGAUUUGAAUGAGACUACAUAGUUGCAUAAGAAUUUUAAGAAAAAAUAUUAUCUUAGUAGUUUAUGGAAAUCAUUAAUUUAGACCUUUAGCCCCAGUUGGUACUAUGUAAAAUUAUUAUAUAAUAGAGUUUAUUAACUUAUCUGAGUAUUAAAUUGUAGUGGAUUUACUAUAUUAACCUAAGUGGUGAUCUUAUUUGCAGUACUAGAGAAGUUUUGAUGGUAUAGUUAAUGGGACAAAGAAGAAUUGCAGUAAAAAGAGUGCGUGAAAAAAAAAUCAAAAUAAUAAUGAUUUUAAAUUUUCUAAUUUAUUUCUUACCUAAUUAAGGAUAAUUUUGGGUUCACAGUAAAAUAUGUAGGGAUAUAUAUGAAAUUAUAUUGAACAUAAAAUUGAUUCUCAAAGUUAAAUUUUGAAAAACUACUAUCUCCUCGCUUUUCAAAAUCAACUAUAAUAUAGUAUACAAUUAUUUUGUCAAAAGUGAUUUUUAAGAAAAGUUAUCAAACAGUAAAGUUAACUUUUAAUUUUAAAAAUUAUUUUUGAGCCUUCUAACAGAAAUUUCAAACAAAUCCCAAAUAUUUCUAAAUAACCAAGUAUAACAUUACUUAUAAAUAAAUUGAAGUGGUAGGUUAUUCUGUCCCAACAGUCAUUUCAAGGCCAGUAUAUCACAUACAAGCAGAAGGUUCUGUAUCGAUUCCUCUCAAUAGUUUGCUUAUCAAACAAAGAAGAACUUUUUCAAAAAGCAAAAGAAAAAAAAAGAAGACUGAUAAAAUCCUGAGAAUAUAGUCUUUUUCUUUGCAGUUGAAUUCGUAUUCAAAGGGCCCGAUAAAGCCUGAAAAUAUUAAUUGAUACUAUUCUUGUUGAAUUUUUAACAGGCAUGAAGAACAAUUAUAGGCUGGCAUUAUUGUUGUAACCCAAAAUGAAGAGAAUCAAAAUAAAACAAGAAAAGGGAAACUGCUUUAUUCACAAUAGGAAAAUAAAAGUACAUAUAUUCGUCACAAAAGUCAAAAUCAAUAUUUGUUUUAGAUAUUUCUGUCAAAAAGAAGAAUAAAUAAAGAGGUUUAAAAGUUUAAUGAUUAUUCUCGGUCGAAGCAAGGAGUGGGUAUGUUCGAAUUAAAAGUUUCAAUUAGAUUAAAUAUGAAAUUGAUUCUCAAAACAAAAUUUUAUACUGUUUCCAAAUUCUUCAAACAGUUUUAGUUUACUGACCAUUUGAGUUCAAGAGAUUAAAAAAAUUAAUUUUCGUUUUGUGCACCCCCUCUAUCUUUUACGGGUGGGGUAAAAUUUUGAACAAAGUCUAUAGAAUUUGUGGCUUUGUUACACACACGGCCAGAUUUUGGUCCGAUUUUGCUGUUUAAGCCUUCAAAUGAUCUUUAUUUAUUUAUUUAAGAAAUUUUAAGAAUGUUUUCAUUGAUUUUUUUUAUCUUCCGUCUGGUUUUUGGAAUUAAGGAUACUUUGUUUCAUUUAUUUUAUUUUUAAUUUAUGGUAGGUUAGUAGUAAUCUGAUAUUAAAAAUUCGUGUUAUUGCAUUCUUGAAUGUUUUCAUUGAUGGUUUAUAUAAAGGUAAUCUAGGUAGCUCAAUUUGUGGUGGUGUUUUUUGAGAUUACACGGGAUCUUUUUAGGUGCUUUUGGUCUUUCUUUAGGCAUUAACACUGCCUACUUUGCUGAAAUUAUGGCAGCUACGUUAGCUACUGAAUUUGCUCAUGACAAGGGUUGGUAUUGUCUUUGGCUAGAAAGCGACUCUAUGUUAGUCAUUCAUCUUUCUUCCAAUCCUUCGCUCAAUCCUCCAUGGGGUAUCCGUAACAGAUGGUUGAAUUGUUGUAAUCUCAUCAAUUCUAUGGCGUUUAGAUUCUCUCAUAUCUUCUGAGAAACUAACUAUGUGGCUGAUCAUUUAACCAACUUGGGUCUUAUUUGUGAUUCUCUCACUUGGUGGCAGACUCCGCCUUUAGAGAAUUUGUGGUUACUUUCUCAUGAUGCGAAUGAGUUUCUAAAAUAUCAUUUUAUAUGGUUACCUCUUUUGGUUUAACUUCAUACUUUUUUCUUUUUUCUACUUUAACUUCUUACAAAUUUUAAGGAAUAAAACUCAUUAUGUCCCCUCUGGACAGUUGUAAUUCCUUUCUUUUAUUUUUUUUAUUAAUUAAUUCAGUUUAUAAAAAAAAGAAAAUUGACCAGUAUUAUUACUCUAUGUAUUAGCAUUAAAUCACACAUUAUUAACGAAGUAAAAAUGAUAUGACAGAUCCAAUUUUAAUAGGUUUACCAAGUUCAAUUAAAGGCGGAUUAAACAAAUUAAUGUGCAAAAAUAAAACAAACAAGAGAAUUUUUACAUGGUUUAGGAUUCAAAUCCCUGCAUCCAUGAUGCCACAUUUAGAUAUCAAAUAAUUCACUAGGUUCAAGAGAUUACAAACUAUUGGAAUCUUACACGGUCUGAGACACCCUCUAGUGAUUGUGGCCACCUUGUCAUAACCUAACCAAGUGACCACUUUGUGUGCACCACAUGACUUUUGCUUCCUCCCCCGAGCAAGACUUCUUAGUCAAUGAUGUGUCACCUCUCUGUAAAUUCCCUCUACUGUGAACAUGUGACCCUUCUCGUGAAAAGACUAGAGACAAUGUCUCCCAAAUUAAAGAAUGAUCACAAGGUUGUAGCCUCUGAAGUAGAAUCCUUUUAGUAAAAUAUAUGAAUGACUCACCUUUAUAUAGUGACAAACAAAUCAUGUGUAAUGAAGAGUCUAAAUUUUUUUCCUUUGAUAACUCCCAAAGCCUUUAGAUGUAUAAGGAACUCUUCACGAUAAUAUAACAAUAUUAUCUCUUCAAUAUCUGUUUAUCAUCUGCUUUAAAUCAAAACAAUUUAAUCUCAAUCUUCAAUGAUCACGCCAAUUGUAAUUUCCAUCUCAAGGAAAAUUGCUUGCUUGAUCUUGAUAGAUAACAUCUAUGUAGAGAUUGAUUUAUCUUCAACUACUUUGACCUUGUUGUCCGCAUGUGAAGUAACGCCAUGUCUUCCAUCUUCUCUAUGGUUCACGCCAACUUCAUCAUAUAAGUUUGCCUUAUGCGUUUCCCUCAUGCUAAAAUAUCUCUGUAUAGACUAAUGUGGACCUCACAUACAUAUAAUAUGUAAAAUCCUAAUUUGCCUGUAUUUGCCGUCGUUCCAAGGCACUGUUGUAAUACUUGAGACAAACUAAAUUACGUAGGUAUUAAAAUAUUAAUGAAGACUCAAUGAUGUGUACAAUGUGGAUGGCAACGUACAAAUAUUAAAUGGAUGUUGUUUAGAAAAACCAACAUCCAUACAAUGAAAUUCCUUUUUUUUUUCCCCCCAAAAACUGAAUAUUGAAACUGAUUCAAUUUCAAUCACCCGCCCUAAAAGUUGCAUGACAGCUAGAACAGAUCCAAGAGCACAAAAAGUCUGCGAAUUAAAGGACCAGAAAAUUGGAGAAUUACUUUAUCGUAGCAUCUUUCUUUUCCUUUAAUGGAGUGAAUAACGAAUCGUGUAAUAUGGGAAUUAUUUAAGAAUCUAAAUAGAAACAAUCUGUCACCACUGAUACUUGCUGGAUUAUAUUAGUGCCAUUCCUGAAGUUUGAAGAGCUUUAGAGCCACGAAUCUAAUCUUCAUGAAAUUUUUUUUUUUGGGGAUAAGCUGCAUGGAAAUUUCAAGAAAUCGCUGGGUGCGAAAAACAAGUGGAAAACAUUUAAGACCAAUGCGUGGUUAAAACUUAACACACCACCUGAGAUCCGUGUCUUCCUUCAGAAGGAUGCUUCCCAAUCCCUUUAAAAUCGCGUUAGUUAAUUCGGUGCUUAAUGUUUUGUUGACUUUUAUUUUUUUAAUUGAGAGGCUUGGCUUUCUUUUAAAGUCUCAACUCCUUGUUUUUAUUUUACUCUUUUCUUAGUUUUAUUUUAAGUUUCUUCUCGACAUUGUCGAGGACCAUUUAAAGAAAAAAAAACUACAUGUAUGUCGGUUCAGUUAAUCAGGUAUGUGUAUAUCGUUUUAUAAAAAGAUUCCGCACUUGAACUAAAAUUUUAUAAAUUUGAAACUAUAAUUUUUAUUUAAAAAAAUCUAAAAUUUUAUUAAUGACAUAAGAAAUUAGUUUUUUUAAACCUUAUUUAUCAUAAGACUCCAAUAAUAACUUGAACUUAAUAUCGGGUUACUAUUACAUGAUAAUCUACCGUGCAUAAAUUAAAGAUAAAAUAAAUGAAGCAAAGGACCCUUAAUCCAACAAUCAGAACAUAUAAAUCAAUGAAAACGUUCUAAAAAUUUCUGAAAUAAAGAAAUAAAGAUAAUUUGAAGGCUUAAACAGCAAAAUUCGACAAAAAUCUGGCCACAUUUAAACAAAGCCACAAAUUCUUUACAUUUCGUUCAAAACUUGAAACAAAAUAUCAUGGAGGGUCUGGUUAACAUAUUACCCGGCCACAUAUCCUCGAUCAAAUGGAAAUAGAUGCCAACACAUCCACACUUUGCUUUGACUGACCUACAAUUAAUUAUUAUAAUUUUACACUCCUUUUCUUUUUUUAUUUUUGAAGGAUAUGUAUAUAUAUAUAGGGGAUCCUGAGCUUUGCUAAAGUAUUAGAAAUCCAUUAAGGCACAUAGUUUAAUAAUAUAAUGGCACUAUACCGUUAAAUCAUAUGACUUAAUAAUUUUUUCUAAUUUUAACAAAAUUUAAGAUCUUGGACCAGAUCAGUACAUAUCUAGUAUCCUGAAUUAAAAAACACACACAUACAGAGACACGGUAUAUAUAUAUAUCCAUGGAAAGAGAAGGCUUUAUAAGCAAAAAACACCUAAUUAAGGAGACGUAAUGAAUCUUAACCCUACAGAGAAGGUUAAGUACAAGGCAACGAAAAAUAAAUUCGAAAACAAAAGUCAUGCAUGUGAAGUACAAGAAAGUAAAAAGCAAUGCAAACAUAUAUCUAGGGAACCGCCAUUAGCAUCUUUGUUGUGAAGAAGAAAGAGAAAGAGAGGAAGACAAGUAAACGUGCUUCUUAUCCCCAAUAGCUUUCGACUUUAAUCAAUCACAAAUAUCUUUAAACUUUAAUCAUCCCUUUAACAAAUACUUUUCAAUUACCCAAAUAGAUUCGAUUUUAUUUAAUCCAUCACAACGUUUUUCACCCUGUUUUCUUUUUUUCCUUUUUCCUUUUCUGAAUUCGAUAAUUACUCUUGCACCCUCAAAAUACAAAGCACGGGUGGCGUGUUAUUUAAUCAAGACUGGCAUCUCUUCUCCUGUAUAAAAAUAUCGGCGAUAGAAAUGAUCAAAUUAGCGCAGCCAGACAGGAGCUAGCUAGUGAGUGAGUGAGCGAACUGAAAGUUUAGAACAGCCAGCUAGGAAUUAAAAGUUAAAAAUAAAUAAAAUAAAAUGGAUGAACGUUCUGCUGGGCAUCGGGUGGUUCUAAUUUCUAAGACUGUUUUCUUACUAAUUUUGUUUCUUCUUUGUCAACUUGGCUCCGAGUUCAAAUUUCAGAGUACUGCUGAAAAUGAUACUAAAGUAGGGGAUCUACCUGCUCAUGAAGGUAAUAUAUGCUAAUAAUUCUUUAUAUCUCGAGUAAAUUUCAUAAUUUUAAAGGGUUUUUGGUUCUCUAGCAUGCGGUUUGCAUUAUUAUAUACAUAUAAGUACAUAAGAAUUAAUUAAUUCUUUGAAUCAGAUGUCUGAAUUUUUAAUAUACAUAUAUAGUCGUAUAUACGCAUGAUCAGUUUACAACAUAUAUAUAUAUAUAUAGAUGUAAUUUACAAAAAAAGAAUCUCUUACUUGAGUAGAUAUAAGUUAAAAGAUUAAAAAAAAACUCUAUUAUAGUGUAUUUUGUCUUAUAGUAGAUUGAAAAUAUGUGUUUCUUCGUCUUUUAACUUAUCUCUUAUAUUAUGAAUUCCCAUAUUAUAUAUAUAUAUAUAUAUUUAUAUAUGAUCACUAAUUAUCAGGUGCGCAUAAAUUCUCUGUAUUGAGAAUUGCUAAAAGUUAAAACAAACGAAAUUAUAAUUAGAUAGCAAAUUCGAUAAUGCAUGCAACUUUUAUAAAUUAAUUAAGAGUUGAACGAAUGUUUUUGUCUUGUAGCUAUAUAGCUGGCAUAGAUCCAUUUGCUCAUGAUCAGUUUAACAACAUCUCUUGUCGGAAAUAUUAUUGGCAGUGGCCGGUCUCCCGGACAUGCUGUCCAGUUUGCAGUGGAGGCUACAACUACCUAAAUUGAGUUCAUAUUGCCGUGAGAAGCCAGAUCUUAGUCUCAAUAUUAUCAUCACUUACCCCGUCGAUAAAGGGACCCCGCACAUCUCCGAAAUGUAUAUGUUCCAACUCUAAUCUAAUUACUUGCCUAGACAGUCAUAACAAAAGCAAGGUUGAUUUCCAUUAUUAACUGCAUGUUAAUCAUUUUGUAUACAGAACCAUGGACAGUUUAGCCUUAACUGGAAUAAUCUCAGAACAUGUGGCUGCUCUGACACACCUGCAGAAACUGUAUGUACAAUUAAUUAAUUAAUUAAUUCAAUGAUCAAUCAUUUUGCAUAAGCUUUUAUAACUAAAUUUAAUAAAUUAAACAACUAUAUAUAUAUAUAUAUCGUCGUAAGCUUGGCUCUUGCCUUAAUUAAUACAUGCAUAUAUAUUUGAUAUGGUUUGAUGCAUGUCAAAACUCAACAGUGAUCUAUCCGUCAACACAAUUCAUGGUUCCAUUCCUGACCAGAUUGGGCAAUUAGAUCAGCUUAUCACUCUGUAAGUCCUCACUUGUCGCAAGUAAUUCAAUUAUAGCUCCUUUUUUCUUUUUCUUUUUCUUUUUCUCUUUCCUUUUCUUCUAAUACACUGGAUUUGUGUGAUGAGUAGAGAUUUAUCAUACAAUCAAUUAACUGGGACCAUACCAACAAGCUUGGGGAAUUUGAGGAACCUAGAAGUACUGUGAGUCUUUUUAUUAGUUACUACGAUCAUUGAGUUAAUGGUGCAUUUACUUGUUAGUAAUUGGAAUGAAUUGGAAUGGGAAUCGGUUGGAAUGUGAAUGAGAUGGAAUGAGAAUGAAGAAUGAGAAUCAGAAUAAGUUGUUACUUGAGCUGUAGGAAUUGAAUUCGGAAUGGACUGAAAUACCAUUAAUGUGUUUAUUUUAUCUUGGAAUUGGAAUCGGAAUAAGCUGAAUUAUUUUAAUUUAUUAAAAUACCCUUUAUUAUUAUUAUUUAUGAUUUUUAUUCUUAUAAAAAUGAUUGUUAAUAAUAAUAAUAAUAGUAAAAAUAAUAUCAUUAAUAAUUUAUUAAAAUAACUUUUGUUAUUUAUUGUCAUUUGAUGAUGAUGAUGAUGAUGAUGAUAAUAAUAAUAGUAAUUGUUGAUGCCGAAAUCUGCUCGUCCUUAGACCGACCAGAUUCUUUCACCAACGUUUAAGUUAUCGACUGCUGCACGAACCGCUAAGGCUGGAAUCACCCUCCUUUCUCUCACUAGACCUGCGUUCACCGAAAACGGAUAAGAGACGCCGGUGGUUUUGCCGGCGUAAACCCUCCGAUGCCUAAGUUAGCACAAGGUGUUUACGGGAAAACAAUGUAAUUUGGAUUUAAGAUGUUUGUUAGAAAUUUGUAAGGAAAUGGCCUGGUUGCAAUUUGGCAGCGUUUUCCCUCUUUCCAGUUUUUCUGUCCCCUUCUUCGUCGAUUUCUUCUUCUUUUAUAGCCGCUGUCCCCACGUUCUCGUUUGCCCUUCAUCCCACCUUUUUCGGGUAGUGGCAGCCCCUCAUGGGACUCUAACUGCUGCAUCAUGGGCAAACGUGGGAUCUCGCAUCUCCCGCAACGGUUCUGGGAAAGCGCAACUGCCGCGAUUCUGUGAGAUCGUGUUUCCGCUUUUUGGGGUAUGGGUACCGGCUCGGUAUAUACCUCUGGUCAGCAUUCGUCUCGGCUCGGCUCAUGUUGCCCCUGCUCUGCUCGUACCAUUUGGCUGAGGUGAUUCAUGCCGGGGUGGAAAUAGUAGCAUGACCGACCUGGUGCUUUUAUUUACUUAACACCAGUCCCCCGGUUUCUGGUCUUGUGAGUGAAAUGAGUCAAGAGUAGAAACUGAUUGUCAAAUCUUGCCAAUCCGGGGGCUUCUCCUCUGGUUUUCUAUCUACAGGGACGGACCUGAGGAUUUCUUUUCUUCAAGGGAGGUUUUGACCUGAGCAUGGGCCUAAAUGAGCAUGUCCAUUGCGUAUCUGGGCUUGCAUCUAGCCUGGUCUCUUGUAACAGUUGGUGACGUGGCAUCUGCAGACUCUUCAUAUUUUGAAAUUUGAAAUGACGGGCUAUCUGUCCUCGAUGUACGGUGCGUCUCCAUCACUUUAAUGCUUUCAUUUCCCCCUUUUCGUUUCAAAUCCCUAGACUGGAGUCAUCAUCAUCUUGUUACUCGUUCCUCCGCCGUUAACCAAAUUUUCUCUGAACUUUGCUCAUACUCCCAGCGUCCGGAGUAUCCAUUUGCUGGGUGUUUUCUCUGUCACGGCAGCGCUAUCUGUGUCCGUCUGUUCCAGGUAUAGCCUUUAACCUUUUCUUUGGUUGUUGUUGAUUGGGUUUUGUGUUGCCCCUUUUUGUAUUCGUGUACUUGGGUUUGUUUUGGUUUUUCUUUUGAGAUUCCGAUAUGUCAAACCGAAAAAGAAAGUUAAUUGUUGAUGAGGGUGAUGAAGAAUCAGGGGAUUCAGGCCUCAACGUGCCAAUACCCACCAAUUUCUUGGGUCCCUCCAGUAGUGUAGGUCCUUCCCAUGGCAGGGAUACCCUUGAGUACCCACGCCCUCUGGUUGUCUCUUCCUCCCCCGAACUACCGCUUGUAAAAAAUAGAGGUGGACCUGCGUCGGGCUCUGGUGAGAACCACAGCUUUGGUGGGGUUGGGAUCUCCGAAGGAGUUGGCGAUGGUGAGGGGAGCAGUUCCGGACCGAGCCGAUCUGCUCAGAGAAGGAACUUAGGCCAUAGGGUGGAGGCUGAUUCCUACCCUAUUGAUUUCAUGGCUUGUGCCACCACCCCCACUGACCUAUUUAAACUUAGGAACCUCUACAACAUCCCCAGCGAGGUUCUUCUUGUAGUUCCUGGAAAAGGCGAUGUCCCUAGUCGGCCUCCGAAAGGGUAUGUGACGAUGCACUUGGAGAGUUUCAGACUAGGAGCUCGGCUGCCCCUUCAACCUUACUUUGCCAAGAUACUGGGUGGUAUGCACCUGGCCCCAGGUCAGCUACACCCAAAUGGGUGGAGGGUUCUCUCGGCGAUGUUUGUGUUGUGGGAGAGGUGUGGGUCGGAGGAGCCUUCUCUUGUCGAAGUGAAACAUCUGUAUCAGCUGCGGAGUAGCCCAAAAGAGGCAGGCUGGUAUUAUUUUAUGUCCAGUUCUGCCAAGAGGAAACCGAUCACUGGGUUUCCAUCUUCAUGUAAAAAUUGGAAGAACAAAUUCUUCUUUGCUGGAGGGAACUGGUGUCCAGCAGUUCGGUCGCUUGGUGGGGACAUUUAUCUUCCCACCCAUUUUGUUACCCCAGAUCGUUCAUUUUUGCCUAUAUUCUUAAUUAGACUGCUACUUAUUGGGUUCUUUAACCUUUUAUGCUAUUUCAGAGUCGUGGGGUCUGAUCGGGGGGCUUGAAGACCGGCCUUUGCUUCAGGUGGAAACGGCUCUAUUGAAUGCGUCUACCUACCAAGACCUCCUGUCACCAACAAGUCUGGUCGGCUCGGGCUUAGUGGAUAUAGCCGCCGGGAUGGAUAGCAAGAUUCUCAGUGCUAUGACCAGAAAGCGUGGUCGGGCUUCGAGCAGCUCCAGCAACCUUCCUCCUCCCCCGAAGAAACCUAGCGUUGGUCCUUCCAAGACGCCUGUUCCUGCUCUGCCCCCACCUCCACCUCGUAAGAGUGUUGGGGAGAAAACCUCCGACAAGAGUCCUGAGGUCAGCUUGCAGUCUGGGGACCGCUCUUCUCCUCUACUAUCUCGGGAUCAAGUGGACUACCUGAGCCCGUAUAAGAAGGAUUACAAAAAAGCGGUGGGGCCCAAGAUGGUGAAGGACAUCGAGAGUAUGAACCUCUCCGAAUUAGCUGCUUCCGUUCAGAGAGUGUCCUUCAGGUUGGCCACCAUGGUUUCGUGCUACAAGAUUGGGUCCGCGCGCCAUGAGAAGAAACUCCAAGCUGACAAUCAGGAAUUGAAGAAGAAAGCUGAAUCUGCUGAUCGCUCCAAGGAGAAGCUGGCUGAGCUGAACAAGCAGAUUAUGGAGCUAGAGGAGAGAGUUGCGGUUGCUGAAUCCAUUUCCUCCAAACUCAAAGGUGAGCUGGGUGACCUGAGGUCUGAUCUCCAUGCUACUCAAAUUGAAAGGGAUACUCUGAGGGCCGCCCUUGAGGGGAAAAUCAAAUCCUUGGGUGAGCAGCUGGCUGAGGAGAAAGGCAAAUCUGCUGACGUGGACGAUCGGUUGGAUGCCGAGUAUGACUCUGGGGUUGCCUUCUCUUAUAAGUGCAUAAUGUCUGUGCUUAAGGAAGAAUAUCCCGAGCUGGACAUGAGCAAGCUGGAGGCUGGAGUGGAGAGGUACAUGGCUGAGGUCGGCCAGGGUGAUAAGGAGCAGGGCGGGCAGGAUCAGGUGGAGGCUCAUUCGGAUGGUGUGCAAGAGGGGGAAGCUGGGGGACGCACUCUCGAAGUGGGUCAAGGGUUCAUGCCUCCUCCUCUCGGCAUUGCUGAUCUUCCACCUCCUGAUGUUGCUGAUCCCUCACUUCCCGAGCUCGCUGAUCCUUCAGCUGCUGGAGCCGUUGAUUCUCCUAACCUUUAGGCCUAUUUUUUGUAUAAGCUCUAGAUUUGCGUUUGUUUUGUAAACAAUUUAAACAUUUAUAAAAAAAAAUUUUUUGAAUGCUCUCUAUUGGUUUUCCUGUUUGGUUUUUUAGUGCAUCGAACAGGAAUAGGCAUUUGUUUACCUUAGUAAAAUUUUCGCAAAAUUGCCUGCUGGUCUUCGGUGACCGAGUAGGAGUAAGCAUUUACUCGCCUUUGUAUAAUAUUCGAAGCUUUAGCUGCUGGUCUUUCGUUGACCGAGCAGAAACAGGCACUCUGUUGCCUUAGUAGAAUUUUCGAAGCUUUAGCUGUUGGUUUUUCGUUGACCGAGCAGAAACAGGCACUUUGUUGCCUUAGUAGAAUUUUCGAAGCUUUAGCUGCUGGUCUUUCGUUGACCGAGCAGAAACAGGCACUUUGUUGCCUUAGUAGAAUUUUCGAAGCUUUAGCUGCUGGUCUUUCGUUGACCGAGCAGAAACAGGCACUUUGUUGCCUUAGUAGAAUUUUCGAAGCUUUAGCUGCUGGUCUUUCGUUGACCGAGCAGAAACAGGCACUUUGUUGCCUUAGUAGAAUUUUUGAAGCUUUAGCUGCUGGUCUUUCGUUGACCGAGCAGAAACAGGCACUCUGUUGCCUUAGUAGAAUUUUCGAAGCUUUAGCUGUUGGUUUUUCGUUGACCGAGCAGAGACAGACACUUUGUUGCCUUAGUAGAAUUUUCGAAGCUUUAGCUGUUGGUCUUUCGUUGACCGAGCAGAAACAGGCACUUUGUUGCCUUAGUAGAAUUUUCGAAGACCGAGCAGAAACAGGCACUUUGUUGCCUUAGUAGAAUUUUCGAAGCUUUAGCUGCUGGUCUUUCAUUGACCGAGCAGAAAUAGGCAAGCUGUUGCCUUAGUAGAAUUUUCGAAGCUUUAGCUGCUGGUCUUUCGUUGACCGAGCAGAAACAGACACUUUGUUGCCUUAGUAGAAUUUUCGAAGCUUUAGCUGCUGGUCUUUCAUUGACCGAGCAGAAAUAGGCAAGCUGUUGCCUUAGUAGAAUUUUCGAAGCUUUAGCUGCUGGUCUUUCGUUGACCGAGCAGAAAUAGGCAAGCUGUUGCCUUAGUAGAAUUUUCGAAGCUUUAGCUGCUGGUCUUUCGUUGACCGAGCAGAAACAGGCACUCUGUUGCCUUAGUAAGCAUUUAAUGGGCUUGCUAGCAGAAAGGUUCCAUACUGAAUUCAUCUUUAUUGAAUUUUGAAUACAUUACAGAAAUGUGGGACAUAUGUGUGUGUCACAAAUCACUGUGUUCAUAACAGAAAUAACUUAUCAGAAUGAAAACUAGUAGGGCACUUUGCUUACUGGAAGUACUUUUUCAGGUGCUCGGCGUUCCAUGACCUCUUCACCUCUCGUCCGUCUGGAUACGCCAGCUUGUAGGCUCCCGGACCAGUUGCUCGUAUCACCCUGUACGAGCCUUCCCAUUUCGGACCAAGAGCUCCAUGGUUAGGAUCCUUGGUAUUUUGGUUCACCUUCCUGAGCACCCAAUCUCCUGUUCGGAACUGCCUCACACGUACGUUCUUGUUGUAAUAACGCGUGACCCUUUGCUGAUACUGAGCCACUUUCUGCGAAGCCCCUUCCCUUUUCUCCUCCAGCAGGUCUAGGUUCAAGCAGAUCUGCUCGUCAUUUUGCUCCUCAUUGAAGUAUUCCGUCCGAUGUGUUCCCAUUCCAAUUUCUGCUGGGACUACCGCCUCGUGACCAAAAGCUAAGGCAAACGGGGUCUCCCCUGUGGCGGUUUUGUGAGUUGUCCGGUAGGCCCACAGUACCCCUGGUAGCUCGUCAACCCAAGCUCCUUUCUUCUCUCCCAAUCUAGUCUUUAGGAGUUUCUUUACCACUUUGUUGGCUGCUUCCACUUGUCCGUUUGCCUGGGGGUGUGCGGGGGUGCAGAAUUUCAGGUCCACCCCUAAGUUUCGGCAAAACUCACUAAAGUUGUUGUUGUCAAAUUGCCUCCCAUUAUCGGUGAUGAUGGUAUACGGGAUUCCGUAUCUACAAAUGAUGUUCUUCCAGAUAAAAUCCGUUGUCCUUCUCUCCGUGAUUUGGCUAAGGACCCCCACUUCUAUCCACUUGGUGAAGUAGUCUAUUGCUACGAUUGCAUGGGUUGCCGCUCCUCGGCCUUUCGGUAACGGACCAAUCAUGUCGAUUCCCCACUGAGCAAAAGGCCAUGGGGAUGUCAUAGUGGUCAGCUUUUCUGGGGGUUGUGCGGGAACCUCUGAGAAGCUUUGGCAGGUUUUGCAAUUCUUUGCCAUCUUUUUCGCAUCCUGGUGCAUGGUUGGCCAGAAGUACCCUUGCCGGAGUGCCUUGAAGGCUAAGGUUCUUGCUCCCGAAUGAUUGCCGCAAAUUCCUUCAUGAAUCUCCCUUAGUACAUAAUCUGCCUCCUCAUCAUCCACACAUCGCAAGAGGGGCAAAGUGAAUCCUUGGCGGUAGAGUACCUCAUCGAGUAGAGUAUACCUCGCUGCUCGGCAUUUCAGCUUUCUUGCUUGCCUUUUGUCCUCUGGUAAAACGCCAUCACGGAUAUAUGCAAGAAUUGGGUCCAUCAAGGACUCUUCAGUACUUAUUCUCAUCACCUCUGCCUCCUCCCCUAUACUUGGCGAGGUCCUUACCUCCAGUGGAACCGAUUUAGGUAAUUUCGGAUUUGCAAUUGCAGCCAUCUUAGCCAACAUGUCCGCUCGGUAAUUCUCAUUUCGAGAUAUCUGCUUUACCUCCACCUCCUGGAAAAGCCCAACCAUUUGCUUCGCCUUCUUCAAAUAAAGUCCCAACUUCUCUUCCCUUACUUGGAAUUAGUCGUUGAGCUGGUUACAUACCAGCUGGGAAUCUGCUCGGAUUUCAACCCUUUCUGCUCGUAAUGCAUGUGCCAAACCGAGUCCAGAAAUGAAGGCCUCAUAUUCAGCUUGGUUAUUCGUAAGCUGGAACUCGAACUUUACUGCAUAAGACACCUCGACACUUUUUGGGCUUCGUAUUAUAACUCCUGCUCCGGAUCCCUGUUCACUACGUGACCCAUCAACCAUCACCAGCCAUACCCUCUUUGGAUCCUCCUGUCCUGCUGGUUGCUCUUCUUGGACCUCUUCCCCUGGUCCAGCACGAUCAACCAUGAAAUCAGCCAGGGCUUGGGCCUUGAUUGCUCCUCGGGGCCUGUAUGAUAAGUCGAAUUCGCUCAGCUCCACGGACUAUUUUACUAACCGACCAGACGCGUCUGGUUUUUGAAGCACCUGCCGAAGGGGCUGGUCAGUCAUCACAAUGAUCUGGUGGGCUUGGAAAUAUGGUCGGAGUUUGCGUGCUGCGGUUAUCAGAGCCAGCGCCCACUUCUCCAUUAAUGGAUAUCUGGUUUCUGCGUUUACCAGGGCCUUGCUUGUGUAGUAUACCGGGUGUUGCUUCCCUUUUUCUUCCCUGACUAAGACCGAGCUGGUAGCCCACUUAGAGAUUGCUAAGUAUAAAAGCAGUUGGUCACCCUCUCUCGGAGUUGAUAGUAACGGGGCGCGGGCUAGGUAUUCCUUCAGUUGUCCAAAUGCCUCCUCACAUUCCAAUGUCCAUUCCAUCUUCCUCCCUUUCUUUAUGAUUUGGAAGAAAGGGUGGCACUUAUCAGUGGCUCGCGAAAUGAAUCGGUUCAAUGCUGCCAAUUUCCCCGUAAGGCUCUGCACCUCCUUAAUUGUUCGUGGGGACCUCAUCUCUAUCACCGCCCGUAUCUUUUCUGGGUUGGCCUCAAUCCCUCGAUGGCUCACCAGGUAUCCCAAAAAUUUGCCCGAGCUGACCCCAAAUGCACAUUUCUCCAGGUUCAGCUUCAUUUCAUACCUCCUCAGCAAUUCGAAGGUCUCUUCCAAGUGCUUCACAUGAUCUGUCGGUUCUCUUGACUUGGUGAUCAUAUCGUCCACGUAUACUUCCAUAGUGUGGCCGAUCAAUGGCUUGAAGACCUUGUUCACUAGCCUUUGAUAGGUAGCUUCUGCAUUCUUUAGGCCAAAGGGCAUCACCCUGUAACAGAACAAACCCAUGUUAGUUAUAAAGGUGGUGCUUUCCUCAUCCUGCUCGUCCAUGGGUAUCUGGUUGUAUCCGGAAAAGGCAUCCAUGAAACUGAGCAGACUAUGACCCGCGGUUGAGUCUACCAACUGAUCUAUUUUUGGUAGGGGAAAGCUGUCCUUUGGGCAUGCCUUAUUGAGGUCCGUGAAAUCUACACACAUUCUCCACUUCCCAUUGGCCUUCUUUACCAGUACUACAUUGGAAAUCCAUUCCGGGUACUUGGCUUCCCUUAUAAAUCCUGCUUUUAGCAGCUUUUCCACCUCCGCAUUAAUGGCCUCGUACCUUUCCUGGUUGAAGCACCUCCUUUUCUGCCUCACCGGCCUUGCCCCUUUCUUGACUGCCAGCUUGUGACAAGCUACCCCUCGAUCAAUACCUGGCAUAUCCUCAUGAGACCAGGCAAAUAUGUCUGCAUGGGACUGUAGACACUUCACCAGCUCGCAUUUUAUUUCUUCACCCAAUUCUGAUCCGACUCUGACCACUCUGCUCGGGUCACUCCUGCUCACAACAACCCCCUCCAAGUUCUCAACAGGUUCCUGGCAACCAUUUUUUGAAUCCCCUCGGUUAUCUAGAGAGGUAACCUGCAGUGUUUCCUUGGCCGCUGUAGCAUAGCAGCUCCUGGCCAUUCUCUGGUCGCCCUUUACUACACCCACGACUCCACUUAUUCUGUAUUUCAGCGCCAGAUAAUGCGUGGACAUCACACAUUGGCUUAUCCUCAUGAAUGGUCUCCCCAAUAUCAUCUGGUAAGGACUUCUUUCCUCUACCACUACAAAGUCCAGCAUCAUCGUUCUUUCAAAUGGCUUUGUCCCCACAGUAAUCGGGAGUUCAAUGAUCCCCAUGGGAGUUAGCCGUCCCCCUCCAAAUCCCUUCAAGGACGUAUUUGUCCGUUCCAGUUUCAAGUCUGCAAUCCCCAUAUCAUCUAGAGCCGACUUAAACAGGAUGUCAACCGAGCUGCCUGUGUCUACUAAUAUUCGUCGUAAUUCUGUACCGGCCACCAUUGCCUUAAUCACCAAUGCAUCUUCAUGAGGAUAUAAGAUACCCUCUUCAUCAUCAUCUGUCCACAUAAUGGGAACUUGUCGCACUUUUGCCUUCUUGGUUGCUGGCAAAUUGAAAAGCACUUCUUUGCUAGUCAUGGCGUACCUCCCAUAGUUCUUCCGUGCUCUGUUCGAAUCCCCGGCCAAUGUUGGCCCUCCUGCUAUCACACGGAUGGUCGGCUGUUCACGUUCCAAAUCCCUCUCAACUCCGUCAUCCCGCGUGUACUGCGACUCCGUGACAGGGGACAUUCCAUCUACGUACUCGUCCAAGUAUCGGUUCCUUACUAAGUCCUCCACCUGAAUCUUCAGGUCACGACAUUGGCUGAUAGUGUGACCGUGAGUGUCGUGGAACUUGCAGAAUCUGCUCUUAUCCCGUCGGUGAGUCGGUUUUAUUAUUGGGGUUGGAGGGUACAGCAGGCCUCGUCCUUCAAUCCUCUCAUAAAAUUCCUCCAUGGAGAUCUUUAAGGGAGUGUACUGUCUAUAUGCCAAGCUCUGGUCUACCAGCUGAACUGCUCGGCUAUCAUGAAUGUCACCUCGGUCUGGCUCGGUCGCUAACUAAUCUGGUCGUCUAGCCCUGGAAUUUAUCGCAUGUAAUGCUCUGGGAGUGUUGUGAUAGGGGUGGGCAGCCAUCUGCCGGAGUACUCGCUGCCGCUCUGGGAUCGAGGGGCGAGGAGGUUGAGCUCGGCUGUGUUGAAACUGUUGUGCUCUCAGAGCUAUGGGGUAAGGGCGGGACCGAGCUGAUAUUCCGCCCAUCAUUGAAGAUUCUCCGAUUCGCUUUUCCGACCCGCUCCCUUUCGGGGCUCGCCGGUCCUUUCGCCUCAGCUCUUCCAGCUGUUCACUUUUAAUUCUUGCCGAUUUCUCCUCUUCGAUUUCUAUAUCUCGCCUCGCCUGCUCAUACCCCGCCGAGUAAUUCUGUACGAGGGGGCUUCUUAAGUUAUACCACAGUCGGCCGAUCCUUACACCUUCUUUUAAUCCCCUCAACGCCUGCGGGUGAUUAAAAGCUCCCAGAUCCAGCACGGCUCGGUGAUAUCGUUUUACAAAGUCUCAAAGGGAUUCAUGCUCCUCUUGUCUCAUCCCCAUCAGUUCCAUCAUGUCGUCCUUUGGGGCUACUGCCCCUCGGAACUGCUCGGCCAACUCCUGGCACAUCUGCUCAUACCCCUUUAUACUUCCUCGGGGCAGCUUGCGGUACCAUUCUCGAGCUCGUCCCUCUAGCGUCAACGGGAACGCCCUGCACCUCUGAGCUGGUGUCAGCCCCUGUACACCCGUCAUGUCGUUGAAACACUCAAUGUGCACCAGCGGGUCACUUCGCCCGGAGUAUUUGAGGUCGGGGAAGCGGAAGUCUCUUGGGAUUAUGGUACCCAUGAUCUCAAUUGAUAACGGAGAUUCUUCAUCUAGCAUUAUCCUCCAGCUCGGGGGCUUUCUCUUGCCCUGUAUCUCCUCUAUCACCUACGCCAAUCUGCACACCUCCCCCUCCAAUUCUAUAGCACGGUCAGGAUCCCGUGCAGCUAUCUGAUCUCGCUCCUGCUCGGCGCUCUGCGACCUCUGUCUGAGCUCUCCUUCAUCAACAUUUGCUCCUCGGCCAUUAGUUUCCCGUAUGCGUCCGGGGCGAGGUUGGUCUCCCCCUUCAUCCACGUGUUCCCCUGGGAUCCGACCAGUACUUCUGUGGGGAUGCACCUCAUUAAGUUGGCCUGCGGGCGGAGGGAUUUCCUCAACUCGACACCUCCGGAGGCUGGGUUCUGCUCCGACUUCAUCUCUUCCCACGGGGGUUUCACAAUCCCUUCUCCGUUCAUCCCUCAACUCAAACAAUAUGGACGCGAGAGUCUCCAUUUGUUUCUCCAUCCGCUUCAGUCUGUCUUGCAUCAUCCUCUCUCGGGCUUCAUUCGCAAUUUCCCAGAGAGUGAUUGUCUCCACCGUUUCAUUGUCCUCCUUCAAAGUAUCCUUUCUUGACACAUCCAUAUCUGAUCGUUCGUUGCUUCUCCGGUAACUGCUAAUUUGGUGGUAGCUUUUUAUUCAGCUCCCCACAAACGGCGCCAAAAUGUUGAUGCCGAAAUCUGCUCGUCCUUAGACCGACCAGAUUCUUUCACCAACUUUUAAGUUAUCGACUGCUGCACGAACCGCUAAGGCUGGAAUCACCCUCCUUUCUCUCACUAGACCUGCGUUCACCGAAAACGGAUCAGAGACGCCGGUGGUUUUGCCGGCGUAAACCCUCCGAUGCCUAAGUUAGCACAAGGUGUUUACGGGAAAACAGUGUAAUUUGGAUUUAAGAUGUUUGUUAGAAAUUUGUAAGGAAAUGGCCUGGUUGCAAUUUGGUAGCGUUUUCCCUCUUUCCAGUUUUUCUGUCCCCUUCUUCGUCGAUUUCUUCUUCUUUUAUAGCCGCUGUCCCCACGUUCCCGUUUGCCCUUCAUCCCACCUUUUUCGGGUAGUGGCAGCCCCUCAUGGGACUCUAACUGCUGCAUCAUGGGCAAACGUGGGAUCUCGCAUCUCCCGCAACGGUUCUGGGAAAGCGCAACUGCCGCGAUUCUGUGAGAUCGUGUUUCCGCUUUUUGGGGUAUGGGUACCGGCUCGGUAUAUACCUCUGGUCAGCAUUCGUCUCGGCUCGGCUCAUGUUGCCCCUGCUCUGCUUGUACCAUUUGGCUGAGGUGAUUCAUGCCGGGGUGGAAAUAGUAGCAUGACCGACCUGGUGCUUUUAUUUACUUAACAAUAAUUAAAAUAGUAAUUAUUAGAAUCAUUAUUAAAAUUGAAUUCCAUAACAAUAAUAAAUAACAAUUAUUAAAAAAUGGGAGUAGCAAAAUUCUAAAAAAUUAUUGUUAAUAAUAAUAAAAAAAAAAUUUCCUCUUUUAUUUUUUAUAUUAUUUUAUCUCUCUUCUGUUUUUUUCUUUCUUUCUCUUCUGCAAUUUCUUCGUUACUUCUCUCCAUCAUCAAUUUCAUCUUCUUCAUCAACAACAUCAUCAUCACAAUUAUCUUCUUCUUCCUCCUGUCAAUUUUGUUUCUUCUUCUUCAUCAACAUCAAAAUUUAAUUUCAUCUUCUAUCUUAUAUAAUUAUAAAUUUAAUAACAUAAUGGCCAGGUAAUACAAACACCAAACAAUACAAUCACUGUUGUUGAUUUUUUUUUUGGUUUAAAAGCCAAGCACCCCUUUGACUUGGAAUAAAAAAAAUCGAAGUCAAUCCAGGUGCUGUUCUUCAUUUUUUUUGGGUUUUUCAGAACAAAAAAAAUAGGGGAAACACACUCGGAACGAUGGAGAGAUUCGGACGUAAGUGACGAACCGAACUGGUUUAAUUUGGCUGUUGGUGACGAGCUGAAGAGAGAGAGGUGGCUAUCGGUGACGAUGCCGUUGACGAGAGAGAGUGCCGAUGAUACCGAUGAAAUUGAGGGGAGGGAGAAGAUACGGGAGUUUCUGGUGCUGGAGAGAUGAAUCCUCCUUUUCUUUUUUUUAAUUCAUAUUUUUCAUUUGUGAGAGGGGUAUUUUCGAAAAAUAAAGAAAUUAAUGAGGAUAUUUUCAUCAUGGGAGGGAAUGGAGUUAUGAUUCCGACCCUCCUCCACUGGAAUGCCAAUCCGGGUAAUCAAUCCUUAUUUUGAGUGAGACCCACGCGUCUCAUUCCCGUUCCCAUUCCCAAUUUUUUUUUCUUUUCCAUUCCCAUUCCCAAUUUUAAUUUAACAAAUAAAUAGACUUUUGAUUCCGAUUUCACCAUUUCGAUUCCCAUUUCAAAAAUGUGAAUACACCAUAAAAUUAUUCCUUCGUAUUUUGUCUCUAAGUGAAGUGUCAAUUGAGAUUCUCUCCUUGACUCUCCUGAAUUUUUAAAGCUCUAUUAACAUGUGUCACCUAACCAGUUGGUCAGGCCCUUGGGGCCAACUGCCAAUAACACACGUCAUUGAAUUUGAAGAGGAUCCAAAUCGGUGAAGUGUCAUGCCUUCCCAGUGAAUUUUAGUCGACAUUUCAAAUUUUUUAAGAUUCAAAUUGUAGGAUGUUUUAUCAUUACUACUCGUUAAUUUUGUCUAUUAUGCAUGCUUGUUUACAGAGAGAGAGAGAGAGAGAGAGAGAGAUAUGAAAUCUCAAUAGAUAGAAGAUUUUGUACAUUAUGCAUGCUUGUUUUUACACACACACACACACACACAGAGAUAUGAAAUUUCAAUAGAUAGAAGAUUUUUGGUUCCCUUCAUUUUCUUACCAUCAUACGUCUAUGAUUUCCUGCCGUAGCAAUCUGGGUCAGAACUUACUCACGGGGAAGAUACCACCAUCAUUGGGGCGCUUGUCAUCUCUUAAAACACUGUAAGAAUCUUCACAUGCAAUUUAUUUAUUUUAUUUAUUUUUUUAAAGCAAAUCUAAAGGGUACAAGAAAAAUUUUACUACUAAGGGCAAAAAAAAAAAAAAAAAAAAAGAUGACACUUAAAUGAGGGUGGCAAUGAAUCUUAUCCUUAAAAAAUUAAGAAAACAAAACAUAUGACCAAUAUAAAAAAAGAAGAGCAACAUAAGCAAUAAUUACUAGGAAACAAAAUGCAUGUGACUAUGCACAUACAACCACAAAUGAAAGGCAAAAUAGCAACAGGACAAUCCGGCUACCAAUCUGACUCGGAUUCCACAACUCCCAUAUUAGCCAAUUUAUCUGAAAAUAUGAGUAAAUCGCACUUACAGUUGCUCCACAAAAUCCGACAGUUCUUCCAACGAAAAAUUCAGAAGUAAAAUAUUGAAAUAUUCAAUUAAUUAAUUACUCCAAAAAUUGCAUUUUGCAUUUAUCUUACUAUGUACUUCUGGACAUUUUAGGGAACUAUGGAGCAACCAGCUAGCUGCUUAAAUCAAUACUUAGCUUAUUUCUUUGAAAAUACAAUACAGUUUUUAAUUUCAUAUAUAUUUUCUAAUAUAUAGAUCUCUGCUGGAGAAUGGACUCAAUGGUACACUCCCACCAGAACUUGGAAAAUUAAGCAAUCUUCAAAAAUUGUAAGUGUGUGUGUUAAGUAUUUAUUUAUAGAAUUUAUAAAAUGGUUAAUUAGGAUGUUGAUGUCGUCGUGUAUAUAUAUGCUUGUGACUAAUUAUGUACUACAUUUCACUUGUACUUAAAAAGUCAUUUAUACAUAGACACGCGUGCGUGUACAUGCACAAACACAUAUUUGGCUGGUAUGCAAUUAUUAUUUGUCAAUCAUUCAUCUACGUUCAUACCAAUACCACAUUAAAAUUUACAACACUUCAAUCUUAAACAUAACCUAAAAGUAACUUUCAUGUGGUUGCAGGCGGUUGCAAUCCAACAAUUUAAGGGGGGAUUUACCAAAAGAUUAUGAGAAUCUAAAGAAUCUGACGAUUUUGUAAGUGUCCUGUUUGUUCGUUUUCUAAUUGUUAUUGUUGUUGUUAUUUUUAAGGAUCGUAAUUAAUUUGGUCUAGAUUUUUCUUGCUUAUUGUUUGAAGUCUGCAAAUAUCAGUAGCGGAAAUUUUAUUUGUCAAUGCAGUGGAAUAGCUGGGAAUUAUUUGUCUGGUCGGAUCCCCACAUUCAUUGCAAAAUGGGUCAACCUCUAUGCUCUGUAAGCCUAUUCAUUUUGUCCUUUUAUGUGACAACUGAAACUUGGGUACUCUCUGUGUAAACAAUCUGCUUUUGUUGGAGUUUAAUUGUUUCUACAUAAAACUGUUAACCAAACUCUGACAUGUACUCCGUGGCAAACCAUGCUAAGUAAAGGUAGGAAUAUGGGCUGGGUAGAAUGGAUAUCCCUCCGUAAUUAAAGGUAGAAAUGUAGGUUGUCGCAGUAUAUAAAUUUCUUAUUGCAAUAUAUGUAUAUCGCACCAUAUAAAAGUAAAUCAAUUUGCAUGAUGCUCGAAAACAUACAAAAACAAUGAAUUCUCCCACACGCGCGAGCUAAUUAUCAAUAAUAUUACUUUUCUUUCCUUUAAUCUCACAGAAAUCUGAUGGGAAAUAACUUCGAAGGGGAGCUGCCACCAGAAAUUUUUAACAUGUCAAGCCUUCAAUCUUUGUAAGAACAAUUAAUAAUAAUCCAAACUCUGCUCUAUAUAUGUAUGUAUGUGUAUGUGUAUGUGUAUAUAUAAUCAUUUUUUAGUGCGGGCGCCCUCAUUUGUUUUUUAUUGUGAACACGAUUUUAAGCAGUGUAAUUUAACUUAAUUAGAUCUUAGUGUUAUUAAACCGCACGGUUUAAAAGUGUGUCCGUAAUAAAAAUAUAAAAAAAUGAGAGCGCCUGCACACACUCACACACACAGAAAAAUUUCAGACACACACACAUAUAUAGAAAAUUUUCAAUGACAUUAUACUAUAUGGUGUAAUAUAGACUAUUAACAUUCCCGUACUUUAAUAAAGUACAAUAUUAAAAACUAUCUUUUUCAUGGUUUACAAUGUUUUGUCAUAGACAUUGUAAAGUCCAUAACUCCCGGAUGGGAAAUUUUCUUUUUUAAUUUCGCAAUUAACUUAAUUUCUAACUUGGCUUCGUUGUUUAUUCCAGCUAUGUCUCCGACCUACAAACGAUGGGCUUUUCUUUCCCGAAGUCAGCUAAUUUGAGUAGUAUAUCAAGCCUGUAAGCGGUGUAUUCCAAUUCCAUGCACGUAUAAUUAUUUUAUGCGUUAAUUAUAUAUUUAUCUGUUUUUGUUAAUUAUUAAUACCUGAUCUGCAUUUUAAAUUUAUAAAUUGUUUACUAUUCCUUAUAAUUAAUUAAUUAAUUAAAUCUUUUUUAGAAAUUAAAUUAAUCAUAAUAAUUCUACAGGAUAUUGAGAAAUUGCAGCAUUACUGGUUCAAUCCCACCAUACAUUGCCGAUUGGAGUCAGUUAGGCUACCUGUAAGUCUAUUUUCUUAUUAGUUUAGUAAUAUGAGGUCAGAGAUCAUUUAAACUUGUAUCAUUGAUCCAUCUGCAACAUCUAUUAACCUUGUCAUAAUGUCGUAAAGUAAAUUACUAAACUAGUGUAUAUAUUUGAUUUUUGCAUAUAUUACCUCAAUUUUUAAGAUAUAUUAAAAAAGGGUUAUUUUCAAGAAUACUUUUGGAAAUAUACAUCUGUCUUCGGAAAUAGUCAUUUCUGAAAGAAAAUUAAUAAAAUAUUAAUGAUUAUUUUUUCCCCAUCUAAUCUGAUAUUUCCUAAGCUUUAUAUGUAAAAUAAGUUGCAGUUAUAUUAUUUUGCAGAUAACAAAAACGAUUGUCUUCAAUAAUAUUGUCUUUUUUUUCUUCUCUAAAUAUUGUCUAAAAUUUUCUUUAAUCGCCGACCUUUUUUUUCUCUUUAAAAUUGCUUAUCAAUCCCGGAAACAGGGAAUUAUCAUUUUUUUUGUUAAUCUUUCAUCAAAUAAUUUCCAUUUUUUUACUGAAAUUUUUGUUAUUUUUUGAAAGUAUUAUUUAUAAGUACUAUGAUUAUGCAUUCAAUUCUAGUCCAUUUCCAUGAUAUAAGUCUUUUUUAAAGAAUUAAUUGUCAGUAUUUCUUCAUUGCUCAAGUUUAUACCAAGGUUUAAAGUUUCUGAUAAAAAAAAAAAAAAAACUAGAGAAAGAAGGAGCAGUUUGGUUAAAAAGCGGCACGGCUUGUUAGCGCCCGUUAAGAAACAAUGUGUCUUGAUAUUUAAUAAGAAAAUUUUUAAAUAAAAUAAAACCUAGUCUUAGAAAGGUUUAAUUGAAAUAUGUCGUAAUUUUAUAGUAAAUUUAGGAAAUAUUAGAUAAGGAGAGGAUCCAAAUCCUUAUUGUAAAUGAUCAUUUUUAUUUUAUUUUCCUCUAAUCAUUGAUUAUUAAUUUGUACUGCAGUGACCUGAGCUUCAACAACUUAACUGGUGGAAUUCCAAAUACAUUCAAGAAACUGUUUUUAUAUGAGCUGUAGGUGAUAACUUUCUUGAAUCCCAUUAAUUUUAUCUUUUCUUAAUAUAAAAGGGAGAAUAACAUUUAGACUCCUAAUAUUUCUCCCCAAUUUUACCAAUUCGAUCCAUGAUUUUUUUAUAUCAAACAAUUACGUCCCUAACUUUAAUUAUUCAAACUUUUAUUUUUAAAGGGUAAAUGAUAUUUUUUUACCAUACAAAUCAUAUGCUCCUUUUGACAUAUAUGUCUUAUCUGAAUUAUGUAUUCUCACUUUUUUCCUUUUGACUGACAGUAGUAGUGUAAUAAAAAAGAAUCCAAAUAAUUUGUUUUUUGUGUUACUAUUUUUACUUUCCAGGUAUCUUACAGGAAAUAUGCUCAAUGGAACAUUGCCAGAUUGGAUUUACAGCAAUGUUACAAAAAAGGGGUAUGCUUUCUAACUAUACAUAAAUGUGAUAAAAUGUUUUCAAACUUGUUCUAGUGUAAACAUUAUUUCCUUUCCCCAUCAAAUUAAACGCAUUUUAAAUCAAAGACGCGGGUUAGGCAAAUGAAAAUUUAUGUAAAAAUUUUCAAUUUAGAAUAGUGUAAUGUGCAAAUGUUUUGAAGCUUCUUAUUCAAAUGCUAGUUGCAUAUAUUUAAUUAAAUAUAUUAUCGUCCCAAGUCAUGAACAAACUAUAGCCUGCCAGUAUUUUGCAUGCAUCUAGUUAAAUAUACAAAUGUGUUGAUGCUGAAAUCUGCUCGCCCUUUACCCGAUCAGAUCUUUCCACCAACGUUUAUGUGAUCAGUAAAAAAGAUGUCACUUUCUCCUUGUUUCAACGAUUGCUUACGUCAUCAGGUUAGAAUCACCCUUUCUUCUCUUAUUAAGCCUGCGUUCACAAAAAUGGAUCAGAGACGCCGGUGGUUUUACCGGUGUAAACCCUCUGAUGCCUAAGUUAGCGCAAGGUGUUUACGGGAAAACGGUUCAAUUUAGAUUCUGUAACGGCUUACGAUUCGCUCAGAGUUUAUGUAGAAAAUAGUCUGGUUUCAAUUUGGCAGAGUUUUCCCUUCUCUCUCAAUCUUUUGGUCCCCUUCUUCAUUGGUUUCUCCCUCUUUUAUAGCCGUUGUCCCACGUUUCCGCUCACUCUUCAUGAUCCCCCUUUCUCGGGUAAUGGCAGCCCCUCAUGGGACUCCAACCACUGCAUUGUGGGUAAACGUGGGAUACCAUGUCUCUCUCAACGGUUCAGGGCAUAGCGCAACUGUCACGAUUUCAUGAGAUCGUGUGCCCGCUCUUUUGGGCGAUGGGUAUCUGCUCGGUAUAUGUCUCUGGUUGGUAUAUUCCUCUGGCCGGUACUCGUCUCUGGUUGGCCCAUGCUUGUAGAAUGCUCUUUAUCAGUGUUCCGCUCGUACCAUUUAGUUGAGGUGAUUCACCCCGGGGUGGGAGAUGAUGGCAUGGCUGAGCUGAUGCUCUUAAUUACUUAACACUAGUCCCCCAGUUUCUGGUCUUGCGAGUGAAACGAGUUGAGAGUAGAAACUGAUAAUCGAAUCUUACCGAUCCUAGGAACUACCCAUCUGGUCUUCGCGUUAUCGUGAUGGAUCUGAGGUUCCAUCUUUUGUCUAGGGAGAUUUUGACCUGAGUAUGGGCCUUCAUGAGUAUGUCCAGUAUAUAUACCUGGGCUUACGUCUUGUCAGGCCUCUUAUAACAGUUAGUGACGUGGCCCUUCCUGACUCUUCGUGUUUGAAAUUUGGAACGACGGGCUAUCCAUCCUCGAUAUACGGUGAAUGAGCUGGCAUUCCCAUCACUUAAACGCUUCCAUUUCCCCCUUUUCGUUUUAAAUCCCUAGACUAAAACCAUCAUCGUUUUGUUAUUCGUCUCUCCGCCGUAAGCCAACUCCUUCUUUGAACUUUACUCACACUUUCGGCGUCAGGAACCUCCACUCGCUGGAUCCUUUCUCCGUCACGGCAGCGCUAUCAGUGCCAGUCUAUUCCAGGUACAGCCUUUAACCUCUUCUUUGAUUGUUGUUGAUUGGAUUUUGUAUUGUGGAUCCUGUAUUUGUCCCUUUUUGUACCCAUACACUUGGAUAUUUUGUGCUUUCCCUUUUUAAACUUCAAUAUGUCAAACCGAAAGGGAAAAAUAAUUGUAGAUGAGAGUGAUGAAGAGAUAGAAGAUUCAUAUCCCCAUCUGUUUGGACCCAAUGAUCUUCUAUACUCUUCUCGCAGUGUAGGUCCCUCCUAUCAUAGGGAUACCCCUAAAUACCCUCGUCCUAUGACCACUUCGCCUUCCCCAGAAUUAGAGCUUGUAGGAAACUGAGGUGGACCCGCGUCGGGCUCUGAUGAGAAUCAUAGUUCUGGUGGGGCUGGGGUCCCUGAAGAAGUGGGUGAUGGUGAGGGGAGCAGUUCCGAGCCAAGCAGACCCCUUAAGAAGAGAAACCUUGGCUAUAGAAUGGAGGCAGAUUCUUACCCUAUUGAUUAUAUAGCUUGUACCACCACCCCAACUAACCUGCUUAAGCUUAGAAAUCUUUAUAAUAUUCCUGAGGAGGUUCUCCUUGUAAUUCCCGGGAAAGAUGACGUCCUUAGUCGGCCUCCGAGGGGGUAUGUGAUGAUGCACCUGGAGAGUUUUAAGUUAGGAGCUCGGUUGCCCCUUCAGCGUUAUUUUCCAAGAUAUUGGGUGGUAUGCAUCUGGCUCCAAGUCAGUUUUACCCAAAUGGGUGGAGGGUUCUCUCAGCUAUGUAUGUGUUAUGGGAGAUGUGUGGAUCGGAGAAACCCUCCCUUGUUGAAGUAAAGCAGUUGUACCAGUUGAGGAGUAGCCCAAAGGAAGCAGGCUGGUACUACUUCAUGUCGAGCUCUGCGAAGAGGAAGCCAAUCACCGGCUUUUCUUCCUCAUGUAAAAAUUAGAAGAACAAAUUCUUCUUUCCUGGAGGAAAUUGGUGUCUAACAGCUCGUUCGUUUGGUGGUGAUAUUCACAUUCCAAAGCGUUUUGUCACCCCAGGUCGUUUAUUUUUGUCUAUUUUCUUUCUCCAAUCAUCACUUAUUUAGUUCUUUAACCUUGUUUUCUCUUUUAGAGUUGUGGGGUUUGAUCAAGAAGCUUGAAGACAGACCAUUGCUCCAAGUGGAAACUGCUCUGGUGAAUGCAUCUACCUGCCAAGACCUCCUGUCACCAAUAAACCUGGUCGGGUCGCGUUUAGUGGACGUAGCUGCCGGAAUGGAUAACAAGAUCCUCAGCGUUAUGACCAGAAAGCGUGGUCGGGCUCCAAGCAGCUUUAGCAACCCCCCUCCUCCUUCGAAAAAAACCAAUGCUGGUCCGUCCAAGGCCUCUGUUCCUCCUCUGCCCCCUCCUCCACCUCGGAAAAAUGGUGGAGAGAAAGUGAGUGACAAGAGUCCUAAAUUCAGCGUUCAAUCUGGCGACCGAUCCUCUUCUCUUCCAUCUCAGGAUCAUGGUGACUAUCUGAGUCCGUACCAGAGGGACUAUCGCAAAUCGGUGGGACCUAAGAUGGUGAAGGAUAUUGAGAACAUAAACCUCACCGAGUUAGCUGGUUCUGUUCAAAGGGUUUCCUUUAAGCUGGCUACUCUGGUUUCGUGCUACAAGAACAAGUCCAUGCGCCAUGAAAACAAGUUCAAGCUGACAACCAGGAUUUGAAGAAAAAGGCAGAGUCUGCUGACCGCUCGAAGGAGAAACUGCUUGAUCUGCACAAGCAGAUCAUGGUCCUGGAGGAGAAAGUGGCCAUGGCUAAGUCCACUUCCACCAAGCUCGAGGGUGAAUUGGGUGAUCUGAAGUCUGAUCUUCAGGCCACUCAAAGUGAGCGAGAUACUUUGAAGAUGACCCUCGAGGGUGAAAUUAAGUCUCUAAAUGAGCAGUUGGCCGAGCUGAAGGGUAAAUCUGCUGAUACGGACGAACGGCUGGAUGCAGAGUAUAACUCUGGACUUGCUUUUUGCUACAAGUGCAUCAUGUUUGUGCUUAAGGAAGAAUAUCCAGAGCUUGACAUGAGCAAGUUGGAGGCUGGAGUGUAGAAGUAUAUGGCCGAGUCCGACCAGGGGGAUAAAGAGCAGCAGGAUCAGGAUCAGGUGGAGCCUCCUUCAGGUGAGGUGCAUGAGGAGGGAACAUGGGAUCGUGCUCUUGAGGCAGGCCAGGGGUCAACGCCUAUUCUCCUAGAAGUUGCUGGUCCUCCUCUUCCUGAGAUUGCUGAUCCUUCUCCUACCGAGACUGCCGAGCCUCAUGAUCCUUAGGCUUAUUUUUUAUGUAAAUUUUAGAUUCUCGUUUGUUUACAAACAUUCGGAUGUUUAUAAACUUUGGAUGCUUUUGGUUUGCUUUCUUGUCUCGGUUUUGCUUAUGGAUUUUUUUUUCUGUUGUUCUUUCAAACGUCUGAGCAGGCACUGACACUUGUUUGCCUUAAUAAAAUUUUGUAAGAUUAUCUGCUGGUCCUUUGAUCGAACAGGAAUAGGCAUUUGCUUGCCUUAAUAAAAUUUCGUAAAAUUGCCUGCUGGUCCUUUAGGCGACCGAGCAGGAAUAGGCACUUGCUUGCCUUAAUAAAAUUUGUUUAGCGAGGGAAUUUGCGCUGAAUUCAUCUUUAUUGAACUUUGUAUGGAUUAUAAAAGCAAAAUACACAUGUGCCUCAAUUCAACAUGCAUUAAUCAGAAAUAACUUAUCAAAAUAAAAAGUUGGUAAAGCACUUUGCUAACUGGAAGUAUUUCUUCAAAUGCUCGGCGUUCCACGACCUUUUCACAUCUCACCCGUCUGGGUAAGUCAACCUAUACGCUCCUGGGCCAGUUGUUUGUACCACUCUGUACGGGCCCUCCCACUUCAGGCCAAGAACGCCGUGAUUAGGAUCUCUUGUGUUUUGGUUCACUUUUCUAAGUACCCAGUCCCCUACUCGGAACUAUCUCAUGCGUACGUUGUUGUUGUAGUAGUGCAUGAUCCUUUGCUGACAUUUGGCUACUCUCUGCGAGGCCCCUUCCAUUUUUUCCUCCAGCAGGUCCAAGUUCAUGCAGAUCUGCUCAUCAUUUUGUUCCUCGUUGAAAUAUUCUGUCCGAUGUGUUGUCACCCCGAUUUCUGCUGGGAUUACUGCCUCAUGGCCGAAGGCCAAAGCGAAUGGGGUUUCUCCCGUGGCCGUUUUUUCGGUUGUUUGGUAGGCCCAUAACACUCCUGGUAGCUCGUCGACCCAAGCUCCCUUCUUCUCUCCCAGCCUGGUUUUCAGGAGUUUCUUUAUUACUUUGUUGGCUGCUUCUACUUGUCUAUUUGCUUGGGGGUGUGCUGGGGUACAAAACUUUAGGUCUACCCCGAGGUUUUGACAAAAUUCUCUGAAGUUGCGAUUAUCAAACUGCCUCUUAUUGUCUGUAAUGAUGGCAUAGAGGAUCUCGUAUCUGCAGAUGAUAUUCUUCCAAACAAAAUCAGUUGUUUUUCUCUCCGUGAUUGGACUGAUGACUUCCACUUCCACCCAUUUGGUGAAGUAAUCUAUAGCCACAAUUGCAUGCGUUGCAGUUCCUUGGGCCUUAGGUAAUGGGCCAAUCAGGUCAAUUCCUCAUUGGGCAAAAGGCCAUGGGGAUGACAUAGUGGUUAGCUUUUCUGGGGGCUGAGCAGGAACCUCAGAGAAGCUCUGGCAGACUUUACAAUUCUUUGCCAACCUCUUUGCAUCAUGGUGUAUGGUCGGCCAGAAGUACUCUUGCCGAAAUGCCUUAAAAGCCAAAGUUCUCGCCCCUAAGUGGUUGCCGCAUAUUCCUUCGUGAAUCUUCCUCAAUACAUAAUCUGCUUCCUCAUCAUCCAAACAUCUCAAAAGGGGCAAGGUGAAUCCCCGGUGGUACAGUACCCCAUCGAGUAGCGUAUAUCUUGCUGCCCGACAUUUCAAUUUCCUUGCUUGUUUCCUGUCUUCUGUUAAAAUGCCAUUGCGGAUGUAUGAGAGAAUCGGGUCCAUUCAGGAUUCUUCGGUGCUCACUCUCAUCACUUCUGCUUCCUCCCCUAUACUUGGCGAGGUCUUCACUUUCAGUGGAACUGACUUAGGUAAUUUUGGAUCCGCAAUUACGGCUAUUCUAGCCAACAUAUCUGCUCGGUAAUUUUCACUCCGGGAUAUCUGCUUUAUUUUUAUCUCUUGGAAGAGGUCAACCAUCUGUUUUGCUUUCUUCAAAUAAAGCUCCAUCUUCUCUUUUUUUACUUGGAACUGAUUAUUGAGCUGAUUACAGACUAAUUGGGAAUCUGUUUAGAUUUCUACCCUCUCUGCUCGUAGUGUGUGUGCAAGCCCGAGCCCGGCGACGAAGGUUUCAUAUUCAGCUUGGUUAUUCGUGAGCUGGAAUUCGAAUUUUACUGCAUAGGAUACCUCAGUUCCUUCUGGGCUUCGUAUUACAAUUCUUGCUCCGGAUCCCUGUUCACUACGUGACCCAUCAACCAUUACUAGCCACACCCCCUUUCGAUCCUCCUGAACUUCCUUUCCUGUUUCAACACGAUUAACCAUAAAAUCGGCCAGGGCUUGGGCUUUGAUUGCUCCUCGGGGUCUGUAGGAUAGGUCGAAUUCGCUCAGCUCCACAGACCAUUUUACUAACCGACCAGAUGCAUCUGAUUUUUGGAGCACUUGCCGAAGAGGUUGGUCAGUCAUCACAACUAUCGGGUGGGCCUGAAAAUAUGGUCUGAGCUUGUGUGCUGCCAUUACUAAAGCUAGCGCCUAAUUCUCCAUCAGUGGAUAUCUGGUUUCUGCGUCUACCAAGGCCUUGCUAGUGUAGUUUACGGGGUGUUGCUUUCCUUCCUCUUCUCUGACUAACACUGAACUGGUAGCCCAUUUAGAGAUUGCCAAGUGCAAAUACAUUUGAUCACCUUCUCUCGGGGUUGAUAGUAACGGGGCACGGGCCGAAUACUCCUUCAGCUGCCCAAACGCCUCCUCACAUUAUGAUGUCCACUCCAUUUUUCUCCAUUUCUUUGUGGUUUGGAAGAAAGGGUGGCACUUAUCUGUGGCUUGCGAAAUGAACUGGUUCAAUGCUGCCAACUUCCCUACAAGGCUUUGCACCUCCUUAACUGUUCGGGGGGGACUUCAUUUCUAUUACUGCCCAUAUUUUUUUCGGGUUGGCCUCAAUUCCUCGGUGGCUCACCAGGAAUCUCAAAAGCUUGCCCGAGCUGACUUCAAAUGCACAUUUCUCUGGGUUCAACUUCAUUUCAUACUUCCUCAAUAAUUCAAAGGUUUCUUCCAAGGACUUUACAUGAUCCCUCGGUUCUUUAGACUUUGUGAUCAUAUCGUCCACGUAUACCUCCAUAGUGUGACCGAUCAAUGGCUUGAAGAUUUUAUUCACCAACCUUUGAUAGGUCGCUCCUACAUUUUUUAGGCCAAAGGGCAUUAUCCUGUAACAAAACAAACCCAUGUUAGUUAUAAAAAUAGUAUUCUCCUCAUCCUGCUCAUUAAUGGGUAUCUGGUUAUAUCCCGAAAAGGCAUCCAUGAAACUGAGCAGAUUGUGACCCGCUGUUGAGUCCACCAACUGAUCUAUUUUUGGUAGGGGGAAGCUGUCCUUCAAGCAUGUCUUAUUAAGGUCUGUGAAGUCCACACACAUUCUCCAUUUCCCAUUGGCCUUUUUUACCAGCACUAUAUUGGAAAUCCACUCCGGGUAUUUAGCCUCCCUUAUGAAUCCUGCUUUCAAUAGCUUCUUUACUUCGGCGUUUAUGGCCUCGUAUAUCUCCUGAUUAAAACAUCUCAUUUUCUGCCUCACCGGCCUUGCCCCUUUCUUGAUUGCCAACUUAUGGCAAGCUACCUCGCGAUCAAUUCCUGGCAUGUCCUCAUGCGACCAGGCAAAUAUAUCUGCAUGGGAUUGUAGGCAUUUCACCAGUUCAUCUUUCAUUGACCCGCCCAAUCCUGACCCGAUCCUAACCACUCUGCUCGGGUUAUUAUUGCUCACCAAAACCUCCUCCAGUUUCUCAACUGGCUCCUGGCGACCCUUUUUUAAAUCUUCUCGGUUGUCCAGAGUGGCAACUUGUAGUGUCUCCUUGGCCGGUGUAGCAUAACAGCUCCUCGCCAUUCUCUAGUCACCUUUUACUACGCUUACAACUCCAUUUACUCUGUAUUUUAAUGCUAGAUAAUGCGUGGAUAUAACGCAUUGGCUUGUCCUCAUGAAAGGUCGCCCCAGUAUCAUCUUGUAGGGGCUUUUCUCUUUUACUACUACAAAGUCUAGCAUCGUUGUCUUUUCAGAGGGUUUUACUCCUAUGGUAAUCGGUAGCUCGACGAUUCCCAUAGGGGUCAGCCGACCUCCUCCAAAACCCUUUAAAGAUGUGUUCGUCCGCUCCAAUUUUAAAUCCGCAAUUGUCAUCUAGGGCUGAUUUGAACAGUAUGUCAACUGAGCUGCCUGUAUCCACCAGUAUUCGCCAGAACUCCUUACUCGCCACCAUUGCUUUAAUCACCAAUGCAUCCUUAUGGGGGUAUAAAACACCCUCUUCAUCAUCAUCUGUCCACAUAAUGGGGACUUGCCUUACUUUCGCCCUCUUGGCUGUUGGCAAGUUAAAAAGUACCCCCUGGCUAGUCAGAGCAUAUCUCCCAUAAUUCUUCCAUGCUCUGUUUGAAUCUCCAGCCAAUGUUGGACCUCCUGCUAUCACCUGAACGGUUGGCUGUUCCAGCCCUAGGCUCCUUUCAGCUCCAUCAUCCCGUGUAUAUUGUGAUUCAUCCACGGGGAACACUCUAUCUACAUAUUCGUCCAAGUACCAGUUUCUCACCAAAUCUUCCAAUUGAGUCUUCAAAUCACGACAUUGGUUGAUAGUGUGACCAUGAGUGUCGUGGAAUUUGGAGAAUCUGUUCUUAUCACAUCUGUGAGCGGGUUUUGUUAUAGGGGCAGGAGGGUACAGCAGGCCUCGUCCCUCGAUUCCCUCGUACAACUCCUCCAUAGAAACUUUCAAUGGGGUGUACUGUUUGUAUGCCAAGCUCUGAUUAAUUAGUUGGAUUGCUCGAUUAUCGUGGAUAUCGUCUCGAGAUGGUAUUGUAGGUAGCUGAUUUGGUCGACCAGCCCUGGAAUUAACUGUAUGCAGUACCCUGGGAGCGUUGUGAUAAGGAUAAGCAGUCGCCUGCCGAAAUUCUCUUUGCCGCUCAGGGAAUGGGGGGCGUUGUGGUUGAGUUCGGUUGUGUUGGAACUGGGGCGACUUCUGAGUCAUGGGAUAAGGGCGAGACCGAGCUGAUAUUCUACCCAUUGCUGAUGAUUCCCCAGCUCGCCUUCCUGACCCACCCCCACCCAGGGUUCUUUUUUCCUUUCGCCUUAACUUCUCUAGCUACUCACUCUUUAUCUUUGCCAUUUUUUCUUCUUCAAUUUCUAUGUCUCUCUUCGCCUGCUCAUACCCCGAUGAAUAGUUCUGAACGAUGGGACUUCUCAAGUUGUACCACAAUCGACCUAUCUUCACACCUUAUUUUAGUCCUCUCAAUGCCUGCGGGUGAUUGAAAGCUCCCAGAUCAAGCACGGCCUGGUGGUAUCAUUUCACAAAAUCCCGAAGAGAUUCGUGCUCCUCUUGCUUCAUCCCCAUCAAUUCCAUCAUAUCAUCUUCUAGGGCUACCGUUCCUUGGAACUGUUCGGCCAACUCUUGGCACAUCUGCUCGUAUCCCUUUAUACUUCCUCGUGGCAGCUUACGAUACCAUUCACGGGCUCGUCCCUCAAGUGUCAAGGGGAACGCCCUGCACCUCUGAGCUGGUGUUAGCCCCUGUACGCCCGUCAUAUCGUUGAAGCACUCAAUGUGCACGAGCGGAUCGCUUCUCCCGGAGUACUUGAGGUUGGGAAAGCGAAAAUCUCUUGGGAUAACGAUACCCAUGAUCUCAGCUAAUAGCGGAGAUUCUUUAUCUAGCAUUAUCCUCCAACUCGGAGGCUUUCUCUUGCUCUGGAUCUCAUCAAUCACUUGCGCCAGCCUGCGUACCUCGCCUUCUAACUCUAAAGCAUGAUCGGGGUCACGCCAGCUAUUUGAUCUCUCUCCUGCUCGGCAUUAUGCAGCCGCUGUCUGAGUUCACCUUCAUCAACAUUCGCUCUUCGGCCAUCAAUUUCUAGGAUUUGCCCCGAGUGAGAUUGAUCUCUCUCUUAAUCCAAAUGCUCUCCAAGGUUCCGUCCCGCAUUUCUGUGGGGGUACGCCCCAUAGGGUUGGUCUACCAGCGGAGGGAUCUCCUCGAUUCUACGCCUCCGUAGGCUGGGUUCCGCUACGGUUUCGUCUCUUAACGCAGUGGUCUCGUUCUCCCUUCUCCGUUCAUCUCUCAGUUCGUGCAAAAUGGCUGUGAGGGUCUCCAUUUGCUUCUCCAUCUGUUCCAUUCGAUCUUGCAUCAUCCGCUCUCUGGCUUCAUUCGCGAUCUCUCGGAGAGUGAUCGUUUCUCCGGUUUCAUUGUCACCCCCUAAGGCGUCCUUCCUUGUCACAUCCAUUAUCAAUCGUUCGCUGAUUCUCUGACGACUACUAAUUUGGUGGUAGCUUUUUAUUCAACUUCCCACAGACGGUGCCAAAAUAUUGAUGCUGAAAUCUGCUCGCCUUUUACCCGACCAGAUCUUUCCACCAACGUUUAUAUGAUCAGUAGAAAAGAUGUCACUUUCUCCUUGUUUUAACGAUUGCUUACGUCACCGGGUUGGAAUCACCCUUGCUUCUCUUAUUAAGCCUGCGUUCAAAAAAUUGAUCAGAGACGCCGAUGGUUUUACUGCCGUAAACCCUCCGAUGCCUAAGUCAGUACAAGGUGUUUACGGGAAAACGGUUCAAUUUAGAUUCUAUAUUGGCUUACGAUUUGCUCAGAGUUUAUGUAGAAAAUAGUCUAGUUUCAAUUUGGCAGAGUUUUCCCUUCUCUCUCAAUUUUCUGGUCCCCUUCUUCAUUAGUUUCUCCCUCUUUUAUAGCCGUUGUCCCACAUUUCCAUUCACUCUUAAUGCUCCCCCUUUCUCGGGUAAUGGCAGCCCCUCAUGGGACUCCAACCACUGCAUUGUGGAUAAACGUGGGAUACCAUUUCUCUCUCAACGGUUCAGGGCAUAGCACAACUGUCGUGAUUUCAUGAGAUCGUGUGCCCGCUCUUUGGGCGAUGGGUAUUUGCUUGGUAUAUGUCUCUGGUCAGUAUAUUCUUGUGGCCGGUACUCGUCUCUAGUUGGCCCAUGCUUGUAGAAGGCUCUUUAUCAGUGUUCUGCUCGUACCAUUUAGCUGAGGUGAUUCACCCCGGGGUGGGAGAUGAUGGCAUGGCUGAGCUGAUGCUCUUAAUUACUUAACACGAAUGUCCAAAGUCGUGCACAAACUCUAGCCUGUCAUUGUGUUUAGGAAUUCCUGUGCCAUUUUGCAUGCAAAUACAAAUUAAUAAUUAAUGACAACACUACUUGUCUGAAUUUUCAUCUUGCAGGGAUCUUGCGUACAAUGAAUUUAUAUUUCCAGAACCAGAGGCACACAAGUAAGAAAAUAGCGUUAAUUAAUUAAUUGGUUCCUUUCUUUAUUAAUUUUUUUCUUUGCAGUUGCAUGCAUGCUUUUCCACAUGCAUAGUUGUAUAUAUAUAAAUGAAUUUCAUAAUAAUUUUAAAUUUUUAUCUUGUAGGAAUCUUCCCAACAACAAUUCUCGGAUAAAUCUGUAAGAAAAUUAUACUACACCGUAUUAUAUAAUAUCCUCCUACGUUUUUACUCAUUUUCGCGCUUCAAAUUUCAAUUCCAACAGUUUCUGUCUAUCUCGUUUUCUGAUUUUGAUUUUAACUUUCAAUGGACAUGUGAUAUCUGCACGCAUACUAUUAACAAUAUUGCUGCUGUAACCAGUGAACCUAAGAAUCGGUAUGUUCAUAUUCAUUUAUCUAAUAAUUAUAUUAUAGGUGAUUUAUCGAUCGAUCAGCAAGCAAUUAUUACGUGAAUUAACGCCCUUACAAAAUUAAUUGAUCUUAUUAUUGUAAUUAUUUAUGAAGGACAUUUCCGGCAGAGAUUGUGAGGAAGUAUUGCCCCGAUGGCCAGAAGAAAUCUCAGUGUAUGUAUACAUAUCCAUCUGUACAGAAAUGUUCCUAUUAAGGAUUUGUUAAGUUCCGGAAAAACUGUUGUUUAAAUUAUAUAUAUAUAUAUAUAUAUAUUUUAUUAUUAACUCAUGCAUACACUGAAACUUGAACUCAAGACUUGAGCUCCAGGAAGGCUGUCCUUUGCCACCAGAGCUGGACCUUGGUUUCAUAUACAUUUUAAAAUUAAUCUACCGGAGCUACAUCUUGGUUUCACAUACAUGUUUAAAUUAAUCAAUGUGUAUAUAUGUUGCAGACAAUUAUAAUUUGCAUAUAAAUACUGGUGGCGAUGAACAUAACAUCGAAGGAAUUCGGUAUGAGGCAGAUAACUCGACAUCAAAUUUUUAUGUUAACAAACCGGCGUACAACUGGGCAUAUAGCUGUAACGGAUAUUUCUUUUCGGAUUCAACGGCUGAUUCACGUGAAUUUAUACAGAAAGUAACAUGUGGAGCUGCAGUGACUGAUGCACCUUUAUAUGACGAAGCUCGCCUUUGCCCCAAUUCUCUCAAAUACUAUGGUUUUUGCUUGCGAGACGGCAAUUACACUGUCAGUCUUUACUUCUCUGAGAUUGUUUUUACAAACAACGAUGAUUACAGCAGUUCAGGAAAACGUGUAUUUGAUAUAUAUAUACAGGUAGGUACGCUAGCCACAAAAUUUUUUAAUAAUUUUAAUUAGCAAUUUAUCCCUCCCUCGCCUCCUUUAAUUAAUUUUAAUUUUGCAUGCAUGCAGAGGGAGCUAAGGCUAAAGGAUUUCAACAUAAAAGAAAUGGCCAGGCAUUCAAAUAAUGUAACGAUUCAAAGUUUCGAGGCUUCUGUACGAGAGCAUCUACUGGAAAUUGAGUUAUUCUGGGCUGGCAAAGGAUCUUUAUACGACCCACCUUAUUUUCAUGGACCUCUCAUAUCAGCUAUUUCUGUAACUCCAAGUACGGUUCAAAGUUGCAAUCAUUGCUCUGUUCAAUUUUGUUAAUUAUCAUCUCCCAAUAUGCCUUUUGUUGCAUGCUAUCAAUCGCUGUUUAAUUUUCAGAUUUCGAAGUCAACCGACCAGGAGGACUAUCAAAAAAAGUGAUAGUAGGAAUUGUACUUGGGGCUGUGCUAGCUUUGAUUCUUUUCAUGGCUCUCGUGUGGAGAUUAGGAUGGAUAGGAGACAGAGAAUUGCGUGGUACGUACGGGAGAUUAUUUAUAUAUAUUGGAAAAAUUUUCAAUUCGAAGUUAAAUCCCAGGAUGGAUUUAUGAUUUCGUAAAUCGAUUUUUACAAUGUUCUAAACUGAUUUACAAUAUAAUAAAUCUAUCUCGAACUUUAAUACUAGAUUUUAAGCCUGGUUAUCAUAAGCACUAUAUAUAUAUAUGUGCCAUAUAGAAAUUAUCAGGUGAGGGAUUUGGUACUGUAAUAAAUGCGAGAUGAAUUUUUACAAUAUUGUAAGUUUAGUAGAGUGCAGGACGGAUUUUUGAAGUCUGUUUGCAGCGUUUUGAAAAUUUGUCUCGUAUUUUAAUUGAGUGCAUAAUCCCACAUUAGAAGCCCACUUUAUGCUAUCUAUGCUAUAGUACUUUAUGCUAUAUUGCUAUAGUAUAAGGCUUACAAAAGAUAUCAAGAAAAAAUAUAUGUAUAAUUGAUCCGUUUCCUUUCUCAUUUCUUCAUGAAAUACACAGUGACAACGGUCAACCUACGAGGGAAGUCUUACACCGUUAAACAAGUGAAAGUCGCUACUCGAAAUUUCAGCCCCAGGAAUGUAAUUGGCACGGGGCGUUUUGGGACAGUAUACAAGGUUAAACAUUAAUUGCCGUAUCUCUCUUUAUGUGCAUGUGUACGUGUGUGUGUGUUUUGUGUGUCCGUGUGUGCUUGCGUGCGCAUCGUUAUGAAAGAUUUUUUAAUCUGGGAUUAAAAUUCAGGAUAAAUUAACAAUGGUGUGAACAUGUUUUUACAAUGUUAUAAAUAUAUUUUCACAAUAUUGUCAAUUUGUCUCAAACUUUAAGAAAGUUUGAGAUCCUAAACUAGAUUGCUACUUAUAUAUAAUAAGGGAUCCUUAGCUUUUUAAAACAAGAGAUCAUCUAAAAGGUCUUAGUAAUUUAUCCAUUACUUUAACAAAGUAAGGGAUUCCUUAUUUGAAAAUUUUCUCUCUCUAUAUAUAUAUACAUAUAUAUACUCACUAAGAUCCUACUUUUAUUGGAGUCCAGGAAAGCUAUUAGAAUAUAUGGUUUAAUAGUAUAAUGUCACUAUUAAAUCAUAUCGCUCAAUAGUUUUCUCGAACUUUAACAAAUUCAAUAUCAUUGAUUGGAACAUAAUACUAUGAAAUUGUAUGGCUUAAUGGCUUUUUCAGGCUUUAACAAAGUUGAGGAUCCUGAAUCAGAUUAAUACUCUAUAUGUAUGUAUGCAUUUAUGUAUAUGAAUUGAUUUUCCUUGUUAGAAAUAUGGUAUAUUAAUCUGCUUGCAUGGUGCAAGCAUGCAUUACAGGCUGAAUUGCCAGAUCAGACUGUAGCUGUGAAGAUGCUUUCUUCUCAAUCAAAGCACGUGAUUGAUCAAAUAGGAACUGAAGUUUAUGCCCUUACAACACUGAAACAUGAAAAUAUUGUCGAAUUUUUGGAUGGCUACUCUAAAAAAGACCUCAACUUACUCAUCUACGAAUACAUGGAAAAAGGAUCGCUUGAACGAGCCUUGUUUGGUAAACCAAUUUAUAUAUAUUUUCAUCAUCAUUUUAUUUCUAUUAAUUAUUCAGUUUAGUGUCAUCUUCUAAUCGGGAAUCCUGAACUUUAUUAAAGUCGGGGAUGAAUUUACAUUUUUUUAAGCUAACUUUUUCACUAAUUGUUUUUAAAAAAUUGUUUUCACUCAAUUCCCGAUUGGAAAAUUAAGUAUUAGCUUAUGUAAUAGGUUAAAAUUACUUUCUUUUUUAAAAUUAAAGUUAAUAGUUAAAUAUUUGCAGAUGCCAAUUCUUCCACGCGACUUGAUUGGCCAACCAGAGUCCGUAUCUGCCAUGGAAUAGCAAAGGGUCUAAAGUAUCUACACGAAGAUAAUCCGAGUCGUAAAAUCGUUCACAGAAAUAUUAAACCUAGCAAUAUUCUGCUUGAUGGGAAUCUGAACGCUAAGGUGUCUGACUUGGGAUUGGCAAAGCUUUAUGACGAAGAAAAUCCAUACAAGUUUAUCCAAGAAAAAGGGACAGUGUAAGUAGCAAAUUAAAUUGAGCAAGCACAAAAUGCAUGCCAUCUUGCACAAGCAAUAUCAUUAAUUAAUUAAUUAUGGUUGCAUGCAGAGUUUACAUGGCACCAGAGUACGCAAUGCGGAAAGCAAUAACAGAAAAAGUUGAUGUUUUCAGUUUUGGAAUUGUUCUGCUUGAAAUAAUUAGUGGGCAGACAAAUGCCAAGUAUGAAGCAAACCAAGAGACUGAAUUUCUUUUGGAUACGGUAAGAAGACAACAACUAGUGUCAGCUUUCAGUUCGGGAAUCUCAAAUUUUAUAAAGUUCUACACAAUACCUUUUUCAUGGUUUACGACAUUGUAAACAGAAUCCUGCACUCCAAAAAUUCCAGGAUUCCCAGAUUGAAAAUAUCUCCUCUAUAGACAUAAAAUAAGGUCUUAAUUUAAUUUGCUAAUGAUGUCGCAUGGCAUGGGAUAUAUGGAUUAAUUAAUAAACAAAUAAUGUACACUGUGCAGGCCAUUGUGUUGCAUUCAAAGGGAAGGCUUUCUGAAUUGGUCGACAAGCAAAUGCCAAAUGAGCAUGUAGUGAUGAAGCAAGCCAAAAUAAUCUUGGAGUUGGCAAUGAGAUGCGUGGAUCAGUCCCCUACUCUCAGGCCAACUAUGUCUGAAGUUGUGAGCGAGCUUGAGCGUAUCUCUAAUUAGAUGAAGCAACUGCUCAGGAUUCUAUGGACUGGAUCCUUAUUGAACUCUGGACUGGAAUGUCUUGGUGAAGGUUAAGCCUAUAUACUACGAUUAUGCAAAGGUAUGUGCACCGGGCAUCAUCUUAUGUUGACGGUGCACUGCUGCUUUCAAAUAUAUAUGGGUCGCUAUAAUGCUGUAAACUUUUAACAGCAUUAAUAAUGUAAUAAAUGUAUGCCAUUAGAUUUAAUUACUCUAAUGCAAUAUUUGUGUUAAAGUAAAAGAUAGCUUAAUUAAUAAUUAUUAUAACUACUCUUAUAGUUUGAAACAAUUGUACUUGAAUAAUACUUUUAUUUAAAUAAACCUUUAAAUGAAUAUGGUGUAACUCUAAUAAACAACACAACUAAAUAUGUACAUUUAAAUGAAUAUCAUAAAUUGUAUAAAUAAACCUUUAAGUGAGAUUUUUUGUAUUUUAUAUAUAUUAGGACCUUUGUAACCCAUUUCUCAUAUAUGCCAAGAUCAACCUAGGACACGUAGGCUCGGCUUGGGUUGGGUUUUCCUACUAUCCCUAUUGCCAAGUGAUGGACCAUAUGGAAAAUCCACACAUGAAAUGCUUUUUGAUGUACCACCAAAACUAUCUUGCUUAAGAGUUUUUGCUUGCUUGUGUCUUGAUAAGAAUUUUUAGAUUAAGAAUAAAUUUGACCAACAUGUAUGAUAUCCCUUACAACCCAUUUAUUAUAUGCAAAUUCUAUUCAAUUCUAAGUACGAAUUUGAUUUUAUUUUUUUUACUUUAAUGAAUAUAAAUUAGGGUUGGGCUAUUUAAACCCACCAUAGUACUUUAUGCACCCACUUUUUCAUAAAAAAUUUAAUAACUAAAUGUCCAUGAGUUAAAUUACUAUUAUAUCUAAAUGAAAUUAGCCUAUCCUCUCCACCAUCUAUGAAUCCAAUUAACUUAAUUGAUUUUCCUACAAAAUGAGUAGAAAAGAGCAAUGUUUUAAUUUCGUUUCAUUUUCUUUUCACCUAUACUCUUCCGAGUACACUUUUAUAGAUAUAUUUUCUUUUAAUGUGUGACAUUGUUGGUUAGCAAACUUCUACCUCUUGGAUUCAAUCCCCUUUCAACUCAAAUAUGUUUCUCAACUAGAUACAUAUUUAUUUUUAGAAUCAAUUAAGGAGCAAAGAGAAAAUAAAAUCUGAAUUGUUUUUGGCUUUUCUUACAUUUAUGAUGCAAUCAUGCAAUGAGUUCCACAAGGAUUAGACAAUAAAUUAAAAAUAAAAGUCAUAUAAUCAAUCAUAAAGAAAACAAACCAUGCGAGAUGGCUAAACCAUUGAUAUUUUAAUUUAUUGUUGGGUAUGAUUCAAAUAUACUUUCAUAGUCUUAACGUACUUUCCCAACAAGUGAUUCUGUAUUUCUAGGGAUAAAACAUUUGAAAUUAAUUUAGUAAAGGUAUAUUGGCAAUGAGGUGGGUUUAUAAAGUAAAACUUUCAUAUGUAAGAGAGGUUUAUUGAGAGAAUGUGUUUAAAGAGUAUUUUAAUGGGUUCUAAUAGCCUUACCUUAUAUAUUAAUAUCACUAAGGGAUUUUACCAAUGACCCAUCAAAGAUGUAUUAGUGGAAUUAAUUAGCAGGUGCUUCCUUUUAUAUUCAUAAGACCUAUGACUUGUGUGUUAUUACUACAUUGUAUGUUGAAAACAGAAGGGGACUAAACUGCUCAAUAUUAAAACUAUUUAGGCAAUAGAAGAAUUUGCUAAAUUGGAGCACUUUAUUGAUAGUUUACAAGAAAAACACUACAACACUCAUGGCUCACUCAUCUUUCUCUAUACUAAUUCUUCACUCUUUACUUGAUGCCUAUAACAAAGAGCUUUAAGGAUAUUUGUAGUAACUUAAAACUAAUAUAAACCACACAAAUAUCAAAUUAUAAAAAUUUAAUAACCUCAUUUUACAAAUAUCACCAAAUAUUCACGAACAUUCUAGAUUUAGUUAUUUUUACUUCUAUUAGAUAUUUUUUAAAUUAUAGUCAUCUCUCAUUUUCUACACAAUUCUUGAAACUUCCAUGGAUUAAACUUUAAAAUUGGGCUUGGCUAAGUAUAAUUGUAUUAGAUCAUGACCCAACGCCAACUUUCAUCCUUUGAUUCAUAUUUAGUUGUUGCUGGAACUCUUGAAACUUUUCGAUACUAAGACUUUUUGUAAACAAAUCUGCAACUUGAUCAUCCAUCUUGAUGUACAACAUUUCAACUUUAUCCUGCAAGAACUUUUCCCUGAUGAAGUGUUAGUGCACCCCCACAUGCUUAGUUCUCCGUUAAGCUAAUAGCCGAUUGGUUAUCACAAUAUAAUGAUACUGCGUAAUCUACUAGUUGGUGUAGCUUCUUCAUCAACUGCGUUAGCCAAGUGCUUUCUUGAACGGUCAUAGCGCUGCUACUCUAUACUCCACUUUUGUGGUGAUAAUGAUAUAGUUGGUUGUCUUUUACUACACCAAGAAAUUGUUCCAGACCCAAUUCUAAAAACAUAUUCAGUACUUGAUCUUCUUGUAUCAUGAUCUCCGACGUAGUCAGCAUCAUAAUAGCAAGUCAGCUUGUAACUUUCACUUUUUGUAACUUUCACUUUCUUUUACAAUAUACCAAAGUUGAUUGUAUGUUUCACAUAUUUUAGUAUUUUUCAAACCAUUUCCAAAUGAAGCUUCUUUGGAUUUUGCAUAUAUCAGCUUAUUACACCUAUUGCAUAUGAAAUGUCUGAUCGAGUUAACGUUAAGUAGAACUUUUUAUGAAUUUUCGAUAUAUCGCUUCAUCUUGUAAAUCUUUGCUUUCAUGUGUGCAAAAUUUUGCAUUGACUUCCAUUGUAGUUGAGAUUGGCUUGCAUUUUAACAUUCAAAACUUCUUCAACAAGUUUUUGGCAUAUUUCUGUUGGCAAAAGAAUAUCCCUUCUUCUAUUUGAUCAACCUCUAUACUAGGAAAGUGCUUCAGCUAACCAAGUUCUUUCAUCUAGAAAUGAACUGAUUAGUUCUCCCUUUGCUCGCCGAAUCUCUUCUCCAUCGUCACCAUAAAUAAUCAAAUCAUCCUCAUACCCCAAUAUAGUUGUUAACUUUCCUUUAUCAGAUUUGACGAACAAGCUAGAGUCUACAUGUGCUACUGCCACUCUAAGUUAGAAAUUCAACAAUCUUACCAUACUAUGCCCUUGGUGCAACCGUAUAAUGCCUUUCUUAGCUUGCAUACAUAUUUCGGAUGAGCUUGAUUCUCAAACCCUCUUAGUUAGUUCAUGUAGAUCUCUCAAUCCAAUUCUGUGUAGGAAGACAUUUUUUACAUCUAUCUAUCAUAAUUUCCUUUCUUUGUUGGCUGCGAGUACAUGUAGAGCUCUUGAUGUUGUGAGCUUUACCAUCAAAGUAAAUGUUUUAUCAUAGUUUAGCCCGUAUUGUUGUGAGAAUCCUCGAGCUACUAACCGAGCUUUGUGUCUUUCAAUUGAACCAUCUGGGCAAUUUUUAAUCUUGUACACCCAUUUGCAAGAUAUUUUAUAUCCUUUAGUUUUGGAACCAGAUCCCAAGUUUGAUUAUGCUUCAAUAAGGUGAUUUUUUCCUUUAUCGCUUUCAUCCAAUGAGAAUUCUCUGCUAGUUAUUCAAAUGUCUCAGGUUCUUUUACUUUUUUCUUAUUCUACAUCUACUACAUUAAUGUACAUGAGAUUUACCUUUCUCAUUCUUUUUGGAUCUUUUAAGUUGAAAUUUAGAAGUUCUUGGUUCUACUUUAUUUGGUUCUUCGUCUACAAUAGAGUUCUUGUGAACACUUGUCUUUCAAGGACUUUGCGCCUUAUCAUGCUCGAUAUCAUCAUCCCUUAGAUCAUCAGAAUCUUUAAAUUCUUCUUGGCUCCGGUGAAUUUCAAUAAUUUGUUCCUUUAUUUGGUCUUCAAUUUCUUUUGAAUCUAAUAGCUCUUCUUUUUCUGAAGACUAUCAUGAAGAUGCUUCGUCAAACACCAUAUUUUGUGUUGUGUAGCACCGUCCACUAAUAGGAUCACAACACCUCCAUUCUUUCCUCCGACAUUCAUACUCGACAAAGAUACGAUGAUCGCCUUCUUGUCAAAUUUGCUUCGUAAGUGGCUUGGUACUAAGACAUAGCACACAAAGCUAAAGGCUUUACAUUCUACAGCUUCUUGUAAGGUGAUGUGAACCCUAGUUUUGGUUAAGGAAGCCUGUUGAUCACAUGAGCUAUCGUCUUUAUAACUUUGGCCCAAAAACUUCUUGGUACAUUUUUUGCAUGCAUCAUAUUCUGAUAGAUAGAUCUCUCUUAGAUGCUGCUUUUUUCAUUCUGCUACUCUGUUCUGUUGUGGUAUAUUGGCACAAGUGAACUAAUGACAUAUCUUAUAGUCUCAAAGAUACUAGGAGAACUCAUGUGAUGUAUACUCUUAUCCACUGUCUAUUCAUAAGUAGUAAAGUUUCUUUCUUACUUCUGCUUCGACUAUGUUUUUGAAUUCAUUAAACUUUGAACAAGUAUCGGAUUUUUUUUUUAUAAAGAGGAUCCAAACAUAUCUGGAGAAGUCAUCGAUAAAUGUGAUCAUGUAUCGCAUGCCGCUUAUAAAAGAUUGCUUGACAUGCCAAAACACGUCAGAAUGUACCAACUGUAAUAGUUUUUUUACUCUGAACUUUGACUCUUCAUAUGGAAGUUGGUGAGCCUUGCCGUAUUGGCGCCUUGCACACGCCAUGUUUAUUCUCACAUCAAGUUGAGGCAGACCUCUGAGCAUUGACUUCGGACAUUAUCUAGCAUGAAUUUAUUAUAAUAAAGUGUUUGAAUAAAACCAUUUUUUCCUACAUAUUUGUCACAUGAUCAACAAAUAUGUAGGAGACAUAGAUCAAUGUUUUUUUGUUAGGCAGGAAGCCAACAACCAAAACUAGGAAUGUUACUGAUAAUAACUAAGAAUCAUAAGGUGAUCAAGGAGGAAACGAUCUUCAAAAUCACAAUCAAAUAGGAAAAAUGAAUAAACAGCCCACACUAGGACAAUAACACUUCUUUUACAAGAAAGAUGAUGUGUUUUACAGAGCUAAAGCCUGAUAAGCAGCAGCGAUGAAAUGAGCUCAAACUACAUUUAAGCAAUCUAUUAGAAAGCUCAACCUAUUCCCAAAAAAUUAGACUCAGAUCUCGGUCUCAUAUGUCUAUAUUAUGCAAAUCAGUAUAGAGGAAAAUCUGAAAUGAAAAACAAAUUAUCUGAUGCUCAUGUUUUAUUUAACUUUCUUUUGAUCUUUAAUCAAAUGGCAUAUAUACAAUGCAGCAAAUGGGUAUUUAGUUUCAUUCCCCCAAUAGCAGUGAACCGAAAAAUACCACACAUUUGAUUUAAUAGAUGAAGUUCUCUUCAUAUCAACAUAUCUAAAAAUUAAAAAUCACCUUUUCAUAAUUUUCUUGACGUGCAGCCAAAAGCUCAUUUUAUUUCAAUUGCAAAUAUGACAUUUCAGCUUGUAGCUUCUCAUAUUCAGAGACAUUGGAGCUCAUAAUUUCUGUUGAAAAAACCUGCCCACCAAAAUAAAUAAACAAAAUAGAAAAACCCAAUUUUUCAGCUAAUUAAAUGAUCCCAUUUGAAAGAAGAAAAAAAUUACAUGAACUUACUCAAGAGCAGAAGAAGGCUUGUCAUUUUACUCAUACAAUGCAACAAGCGUCAAAGUCAUGGGCGGUGCCAAACCAUUAUCAAUUUGGCCACCCAAAUUGAAGUCUAAGGAGGUGCCGCCCAAAUGAAGAAAAAAAGGAAAAAAGUUUGACAAAGAAGAAAGAAAAAAUAGAGAUGGUGGUUGGUAUACCAAAUGAAAAAAAAAUGAAAAAAAAAUUAUUUUAAUAGCCAAUUUUGGCUAUAAAAGGGGAGAGCUCCAUUUCGAUUUUAGCAUCCAAUUUUUUGAGAGGUAUUUUUGAGAGAGAGUUUAGAGAGCUUGAAAAUUAUAAGCUCUUGUAAUAGUGAUUUGCGAGUUUUGGUGUAUUGGAGUUUUAGGAAGUGAGCUAAAAUACUACAAUACUUAUAACUUCUUUUCACUAGUAAAAUAUUUCCUUCUGUUUUCACACGUGGACGUAGGCUAAAAGCCGAACUACGUAAUUUCUAGUGUCCUCUAUUGUGCUUAUUCUUUAUUUUUCUUCCAAUUUUAUUUUAGUUGCGGUCCUGCUUCACCCAUCAAUUUCCUAACAGUGGUAUAAGAGCUAUUGGUUGUAUUUUUUGGAGUCGGCUACUGUUCACAUAAGGGGUACUAUUCACAUAUACGGCACUGUUCACGUAUACGAUACUAUUCACGUGAAACGGUGGGAGUGAUCCAAGAAUUUUGCGGUGCAAAGCAGGGAAUAGUGGUGUGAGCAAAGCAACUGUGUGGUUUUGUACAUGUCUAGGAAAGUUCUGUCACAAAUGCGAUAAGAGCUUAAGGUGUCUGGGUUUUAAGUGGGAUAAUUGCGAACCCUCCAGUCUUUCCUGGGAACUUUUCUGGUGUGCAUUCUUACACAUACUCAUAAUUAUUCAAGGUGGUACACUAGCUUGUGUGCAGUAUUUAUCAACAAAAUGGCGGCAACGUAUGAAAUUGAUAAGUUUAAUGGAGCUGUAUUGAGGAAAAAUAAUUGCCUGGCAGCAAUUGGAGAAAGGCCCAUAGAGAUAACUGAUGACAGGUGGAACGAGAUAGAUGGCAAUGCCAUUUCUGAUAUACACUUAACACUUGCAGAUGGAGUAUUAUCCAGUGUGGCAGAGAAAAAUACAGCGAAAGAAAUAUGGGAUACUCUCACAAAAUUGUACGAGGCCAAGUCAUUACACAACAAAAUCUUCUUGAAGAGGAAACUUUAUACUCUUCGAAUGGCUGAAUCUACAAUGGUGACCGACCACAUCAACACCUUGAGGACUCUAUUUUCAUAACUCACAACGUUGGGUCAUAAUAUAGAGAAAAAUGAACGUUCAGAGCUUCUACUUCAAAGUCUACCAGAUUCGUAUAAUCAACUCAUCAUCAACCUGACAAACAACAAUCCAGUGGAGAGUCUAGUUUUCGACGAUGUUGCAGCUUCCGUAUUAAAUGAGGAGAGCAGGCAGAAAAAUAAGGAAAACAGACAAGCAAGUUCGCAGCAAGCGGAGCACUAUCGGUGACGAGAGGGAGAUCAACGGAACGUGGCUCUAGUGGGAGUCAAAAUCAUGGUAGAUCAAAAUCCAGAAGUAAGAAGAAUGUUAAAUGCUACAACUGUGGUAAGAAAGGGCACGUCAAGAAAGAGUGUUGGAGUAACUAGAAGAGAAAAGAUGGCAAAGAACCUGAGUCAUCAAAUGCUCAUGUGUGUGUAGCAAGUACCUCGGAUGAUGGCGAAAUUCUCUACAGCGAGGCAACAACUAUUUCAGAAGGUAGAAAAUAACUGUUUGGUGUCUGGCUUAUAGACUCAGGAGCUACCUAACACAUGACCUCUCGGAGAGAAUGGUUCCACACAUAUGAACCUAUCUCAGGAAGAUCUGUAUAUAUGGGAGAUGAUCAUGCCUUGGAGAUCGCUGGUAUUGGUACUAUCAAAAUAAAAAUGUUUGAUGGUACAAUUCGCACAAUUGAGGAGGUACGACUUAUCAAUGGCCUGAAGAAAAAUCUAUUGUCUUUGGGACAAAUGGAUAGUCAUGGGUACAAAACUCAUGUAGAAAAUGGAAUUAUGAAGAUCGUUAAAGGCGCGCUUGUAUUGAUAAAGACAGAAAAGAUCGGUGCUAAUCUAUUCAUGCUUAAAGGAGAAACACUAUAGAAGGCUGAUGCGUGUGUCGCGUCUAAUGGAGAAAAGUCAACGAUGAUGUGGCAUCUUAAACUUGGCCACAUGUCAGAACAAGGUUUGAAGAUUCUCUCACUUCCGGGGCUCAAAUCGGUAAGUUUACCAUUUUGCGAGCAUUGUGUUACAAGUAAGCAGCAUAGAUUAAAAUUUAGUAGAUCUAUUGUUAGAAGUAAAUGCAUUUUAGACUGGAUUCAUUAUGAUGUUUGGGAAUCACCGGAUAUAUCCAUGGGAUGUACAAAGUAUAUGGUGACUUUCAUUGAUGAUUAUUCCAGAAGAUGUUGGGUGUAUCUAAUUAAUAAAAAGUCAGAUGUAUUUUCAGUGUUUAAAGAAUACAAAACGCGGGUGGAACUUGAAUUUGGUAAAAAAAAUCAAGUGCUUGAGGACGGAUAAUGGUGGAGAGUAUACAGACGGCGAGUUUCUUGCCUUCUGUAAGCAAGAAGGUAUUCAGAGGCAGUUCACGGUAGCAUACACUCCUCAACAAAAUGGAGUGGCAGAGCGGAUGAACAGAACUCUUACAGAAAGAAUAAGAGCUAUGUUGAGGACUGCUGGUCUAUCCAAUUCAUUCUGGGCAGAAGCAGCCAAAACUGCUUGUUAUAUAGUAGAUCGGUCAUCAUUUACAACUAUUGGCCUGAAAAUAGCGAUGAAGAUGUGGACUGGAAAGCCAGCUGAUUAUUCCUACCUACAUGCAUUUGGAUGUCCUGUGUCCGUGAUGUACAAUGCCCAAAAAAGAACAAAGCUGGAUCCAAAAUCUAGAAAAUGUAUCUUCUUAGGGUAUGCUGAUGGAGUAAAGGGGUAUCGUCUGUAAGACCCCACUGCCCACAAGAUCAUCAUCAGCAGAGAUGUUAUCUUUAUAGAAAAUCAACUGCAAAUGAGAGAUGAGGAUUAUGGUACUGCAAAAGAAAAAUCAGAGACUGUGCCAGUAUAUGUGAAACAUAAUCCAGAAGAUUCAGAUUCUUCUGAAGCAGCACCAGAGCACGAGGAACAAGAACCAGUCGAAUUUGAGGCUCUAGAAGUUCGUUGGUCAACUCGUGAGAGACGACCGCCAACGUGGCAUUCAGAGUAUGUCACAGAGAUUAACGUUGCAUACUGUCUACUAACAGAGGAUGGAGAGCCUUCAACUUUUCAUGAAGCUUUAAACAACUCAAAUGUUACUUUGUGGAUGACAGCAAUGCAGGAAAAAAUUAAAGCUCUACAUAAGAACAAGACAUGGGAACUUGUAAUACUACCACACGGAAGAAAAGCCAUUGGAAACAAAUGGGUCUACAAGAUCAAGCGUGAUGGUAAUGACUAAGUGGAGCAGUAUCGUGUAAGAUUGGUGGUGAAAGGAUAUGCUCAGAAAGAAGGUAUUGACUUCAACGAGAUAUUUUCUCCGGUGGUUCGACUCACAACAGUCAGAAUAAUCUUAGCGAUGUGUGCUACAUUUGACUUACAUCUAGAGCAGUUAGAUGUAAAAAUUGCAUUUCUUCAUGGAGAACUUGAAGAAGAAAUAUAUAUGCUCCAACCAGAAGGUUUUGCAGAAACAGGAAAGAAGAACUUGGUUUGCAGGUUGAACAAAUCUCUAUACUGCCUCAAAUAGGCGCCGAGGUGUUGGUAUAAGAGAUUUGAUUCUUUAAUCAUGAGCCUUAGAUACAACAGACUCAGUUCAGACCAUUGUGCAUAUUACAAGAGGUUUGAAGAAAAUGAUUUCAUCAUUUUGCUGUUGUAUGUGGAUGACAUGUUGGUAGCAGGUCCCAACAAAGAUCGAAUCCAAGAAUUGAAGGCACAGAUGGCUAGGGAGUUUAAAAUGAAGGAUUUGGGAUCAGCAAACAAGAUUCUAGGGAUGCAAAUUCAUCGAGACAGAAAUAACAGGAAGAUUUGACUUUCAUAGAAGAAUUACUUGAAGAAAAUCUUGCGGCGCUUCAACAUGCAAGAUUGUAAGUCAAUUCUACCCCACUUCCUGAUAAUUUCAAAUUAUCCUCAAGUAUGUGUCCUAGCAAUGAAGUAGAGAGGAAGGAGAUGUCUCGAGUACUGUAUGCAUCAACAGUGGAAAGUUUGAUGUUCGUUAUGAUAUGUACUAGACCGGACAUUGCACAAGCAGUGAGAGCAGUUAGUCGAUACAUGGCGAAUCCUGGUGAAGAGCAUUGGAUAGCUGUGAAGAGGAUUUUGAGAUACAUCAGAGGAACCUCAGAUGUUGCAUUAUGUUAUGGAGGAUCAGAGUUUACUGUCAGGAGCUAUGUGGAUUCAUAUUUUGUACGAGACCUUGAUAAAAGGAAAUCCACUACUGUUUAUGUGUUUGCACUUGCGGGAGCAGCUAUAAGUUGGGUUUCGAAACUGCAGACCGUUGUGGUUUUAUCUACAAUAGAAGCAGAAUACAUGGCAGCUACACAAGCUUUCAAGGAAGCUAUUUGGAUACAAAGGUUAUUGAAGGAGCUCGGGCACAAACAACAGAAAAUUCCUGUGUUUUAUGAUAGUCAGAGUGCCUUGCACAUUGCAAGGAAUCCAGCCUUUCAUUCUAGGACAAAGCACAUAGGAGUUUAGUAUCACUUCAUCGAGAAGUAGUGGAAGACGGAAGUGUGGAUUUACAGAAAAUCCAAACGAAGGAGAACCUAGCAGAUGUUUUGACCAAGCCAAUCAAUACUGACAAGUUUAUCUGAUGUAGAUCCUCUUGUGGCCUAACAGAAACAUAGGCAACAUGACAAUGGCGAAGCAGAAAGGAUGGUGCGGAGAUUAAUUGAUUCUCAAUCUAAUCUCCAAGUGGGAGAAUGUCAAAGUCAUGGGCGGUGCCAAGCCAUUAUCAAUUUGGCCACCCAAAUUGAAGUCUAAGAAGGUGCCGCCCAAAUGAAGAAAAAAAGGAAAAAAGUUUGACAAAGAAGAAAGAAAAAAUGGAGAUGGUGGUUGGUAUACCAAAUGAAAGAAAAAUGAAAAAAAAAUAUUAUUUUAAUAACCAAUUUUGGCUAUAAAAGGGGAGAGCUCCAUUUCAAUUUUAGCAUCCAAUUUUUUUAGAGGCAUUUUUGAGAGAGUUUAGAGAGCUUGAAAAUUAUAAGCUCUUGUUAUAGUGAUUUGAGAGCUUGGGUGUAUUGGGGUUUUGGGAAGUGAGCUAAAAUACAACAAUACUUGUAACUCCUUUUCACUAGUAAAAUAUUUUCUUCUAUCUUCGCCCGUGGACGUAGGCUAAAAGCUGAACCACGUAAUUUCUGGUGUCCUCUGUUGUGCUUAUUCUUUAUUUUUCUUCCAAUUUUAUUUUAACUGCGGUCCUGCUUCACCCACCAAUUUCCUAACAACAAGAACUGAAAGCAACAACAACAACAAAAUGAAACAGAAAUUAAUAUUAAGUUGAAAUAAAAAUAAAAAUAAAAAAGAAAACGAAAAAAGAGAAGAUGAAAGAGAGGAACGGAAACCUUUGGUGAGAGCAUCAAGAACGCCACUAGAAUAUAAGUACUUCCUGAAAACUUCCUUUUUGGCUUCUUUUUCUGGCAAAAAGAUUAAGUGGGGGGUUGAAGAUUUCAGCAGAUAUGGUGAUUAUCAUCAAGUGGAUCAGCUGCAUUAUGCAUACAUUAGUGUUACCUCUUUGUAUCGCAUCAUCAUCUGCUCUCUAAUCUUCUUCUUGUUGCUAAUGGUAUCACUGAUUCUGUUCAGACAAUGAAAAAUCAAAAAAAAAAAAAGAGGAAAAAUCACAGAAAAAUAGAAGGGUUAAUUUCAUUGCACCCCUUAAUUGUUGAUUUAAUUUUAAUUAACCCCAAAUGAAACUCUGAACAAUGGACAGACACCCUCUAUUCUAGCCUAAAGUUUUAAACCCAACCCAACCCACUAAACUAACAUGUGACUUUAAGAGAAAGCAAUCAAUAAAAAUAAUAAAAAGGGUUAAUUCCACCCUGCCCCCAAAUGUUUCAACAUAUUCUACCGUGCACCCAAAUGUUUCAACAAUACCCAACUUACACCCAAAUCCGUUAAUUUGACCGUUUAUUCUAACGGUCAAAGGGUAAAUUUGAAAGUUCAUGCCCUAAAUAUUAUUUAAUGAUGAUAAAUUAAAUUUAUUUGAUAAGUUAAUUGAUGAGAUUAUUAUUAAUUACCUUUAAUUAAGAAUUUUUAAUGUAAAUAUUUAUUAUUGGAUUAGUAUUUUAUCCCAUUUAAUUCUUUUCUAAUUCAAGAUAAGAGGUAUUUCAGUCAUUUCAUUAAAUUUCAAAUAACUCCGUUAAAAAUAACGGUCAAAUUAACAAAAUGGGGUGCGUGAUGGAAAAUGUCGAAAAGUUUAGGUGCGCGAUGGAAAAUAUCGAAACAUUUAGGGGUUGGGUGGAAAUAACCCGAAUAAAAAUAAGGUUCUUUAGCAGACAUGGAUAACCAAUUGCAAAAAUGCCACACAUUGAGCAGUGAAUCUCAGACAUGGAUAACCAUUCAACUCUAAAGGAAUGCAAAGCUCAGUAAAGAAAAUAAAAAUGUACACAUCAACAGCUAACCAAGAUACCGAGUGCCAAAUAUAGUCAUGGCAGUCAAACAAAUUUUCAGUCAAAAUUACUGGGAGAAUAUAACAGGGAAAGUUCCGCACACAAGUGAUCAUGACUAAGCUGAGGCAUCAUCCUGAAUGCAGAUACAUCAUACAUGUACAGGUUAACAUGGAAGAAAUCAGAGUGAGAAAUUUGCUUCAACUUUUACAGCGAUAACCAUGUGGAAAUCAACAAUAAAGGAAACAUUAUUAUCAAGCCAUAGUUCACCAAGGAAUCAAUACGUUCAAUUUUUUCCAACUUGUCCUGAAAAGCAUUCCACCUACGUGUAAAAGGGCACUGUUUAUCCUGCAAUUGUGUUCCUCUUGUUAAUACAAUUGUACAUGACAAAGGUUAAUAAUUGGCUUUUAAAGGGAACAUGCAAAGUCACCUCAAUUUUUGUGUCACUGGUUUGAUCCUGGACAUUUGAAUUUAUCAAUUGUCUUCUCUCAUCAUGCUCGACUGAUUGUUGCAAAGGCAUUUUUGUUUCAGAGGUUUUCCUUGAACGAGUGGUUCUGUAGGCCAAGUCAGUAUGUAUUGUUUCCAUGACUGAGCCAAAGAAGUUUGUCACAGGUACCUAUACAGAGAAAGAGAGAAACAAUGGCAAACUCUUAGUCAAAACUCAGAAGUUAUUUCAACCCUAACAAAAAUUUUGAAUAAAAAGGUAGCAUCAGCUUCAAUACUAAUCAAUUAUUGUAAAGCAUAGAGGUGAUUCACCUCAAAAAGUGAUCAUAGUUUGCUUCAAAAUUAGUAAUAUUUAUCAGGGCAGUGGUAAACCAUCCUCAAUUAUCCAUAAUUAAGUUUAACAUAGACCAAAGGCCCCUUCACAUCAUUCAGCCAAGCAACCACUAAGCUGAAGAGGUUUAACAAAACAACAUCUAUGUAUAAUUAAAAAUAAGCAUAAGAUGUACGCAGCUUGUGCACGUGAAAAAUGAGCACAAACUUCACCUAAACAACCGUAAAGAAUAAAAAAAAAAAAAAAAGAUCAGAGCGAACCAGUUAGAAUGGAAAUGUAGAAUAGAAAUAUUAAAAGGAUCGGAGAAAAGCCCAGAACUUCCAUACCUCCUCCAAUUUUCUUUGGUAUAGAUCUGUUCGGUAAUAUGCAGUUGACAUUAACAGAGUUGGAUUGUAAGAAGUGAAAAGACUGCAAAACAACUGUCACAGAUGUGCUAUAGACGGGGAUGGGCAAAAUCCCGGGCCAGCUCAGGGUCUUGGGCUCCAUUCGGUACUGCUGUAUUGUGGCUGUGCUUCCAAAGCAAAGCUGCCAAAGUUUUUAGUAAAACACUUUCAGCUUCAUUUUGGAAGCUAACCUAAUUUUACCCAUAGUUGUUCUAUGAAAAAUUAUUACCCUCACUAACUUACCUUUAACAAACUUCAAAGCUUUGAUUACCAAACACUCAUUUAGUUUCACUAAAUAGCUAGUGCUUCCAUUUCACAGAAGUUGCGGCUUCAAAGCCUCAACACCACAAUCCCAUAAGAAGCCUUACUGGUGGGUUAUGACUAAAGAGCACCCAAGCCAGGAAAAUACCUAGUUUCUGGGAAGCCCCAGCUGGAUCUGGUGAUGUUUGGCUGGGAUCAGGUUAUAAAACUUAUAUUGGCAUUCAAGCUUAUGUGUCAGAGACUCUAAGAUACUACUCUUAUAACGAGCAUAAAGUCCUACUUUCGUGUACCUGCUCAAUGACGCAUUGUCAUACAUAUUCAGCUUUUCAAAGAAAGCAAGGGUAUAAAAUGUGAAACGAUCCACGACAGAUACUCCAACCUGAAGUUAAUAAGAGAUGUUCAUAUGUAAUAACUGCAAUUGUAGAAGCAAAAUAAAAGAUUGAAACUUCAAAAACAGGGUAUACUAGGUCCUAUAUGUUUAAAGGAUUGGUAAACAAGAAAAUUCUAUCUUCUUAGCACUUACAUCAGAGUCCAAGUGAUGAGAAUAUGAGUUCUCCCCUUUCAUGCUACUUCCAAUAGCCAAAACACCUGGAGAAUGAAGCUGCACAAUUUAAAAAGGCGUUUCCUUCAGCAUCAAAACCACUGGUUAGGUAAAUCAACUUUUUAAAUGUAUGCUAAGUUAAAAGACUCAGAAAGUCACGUCAAUGGAUCCAAAUUUGAUUCAGAAGCUUGUUACUAAACUCAAAACUUAGAUGAUAGCGACCAGAUAUGUAAACAAAGAGGCAUCUCACAAAAGCCAAGGUGCACAACAAUUGUAAACAUUGCUUUCAUGAACAAACAUUUGCGGAUCUCAUGCGGCGGAGCAGGGGUGUAGGCCCACAAAUGAAACAGAUAACUGCUUGAGUAUAAUGACAUUUGAUUCUUAAAUAAUUAUGAGUAGUCACCAAUGAAAGAGCAGCUAUGAAGUGAUUCGUAGUUUAACCAUUCAAACUGAGCAACGUAGGUUAAAGAUUUUUCUUCACACUACCACGCGCAUGUUUCGCUAGUUUAAAAAUAAUACUGCAGAAAAGUAAAAUCUAAUAAUCGCUAGAAGUAACUAGUCUAAUAUUUAUGAAAAGUGAAACCCAUUUAAACACACCAUACUAACCUGAGAAAAGAGUGUGGCAGCUUGGCAAGUGUCCACCAUUAUCAACAACUCCUUGAAUCUAGUUUUGUGGUAAGACACACAAGCUCAUUAUUAAGCAGGAUCAUUAACGCAUAAAUGUCAACGGCCACCAAAAUCUACCAUAAACAAUUAGCAUUUCACGUCGGCAUUUUCCAUUGAGAAAUAAAUAUGUUUCAUACAUACACCAUCCAAAAUGGCAGAACUACAAGUCUAUAAACCCUUUUACUUUCAUUCUUAUGGUUGAAUGUUAUUGUUAAAGGCAACAGGCAUGAAAGCAGAAUACAAUCUUAUCUGCGCUUUUCUUUCAUUUGCUUCACUGCAUCUGCUAGAUCAUGACUUUGGAGCUCUUCUGAGUCCUGAAAUUUUAAAAAUUCAUCUCACCCAUGCCCAGUCAUGUAUAGAAGAAUAUGGCUUCCUUCGUCACUUAAAAGACGCUUUGAUCUAGGAACAGCAGCCUCGUGAUGCCCGGUCAAAACUCUUAAAAAGUUUUCAGCAUUCACUUCAUAACCAUGAUAGUCUACCUGGGUGAUUGAAGUUUAGUAAAAUGAGGAUCUGCUAAACUUUAAUUUCCUAGAAGCAAGGCAUGUUCAGUAAUUAUACAACCUUAAAUUUAAAUUCUUGAUUGACUGUCUCCAUAAGGUGUUCAGUGAAAGCCUUAUGGAGACUUAUAAGGAGACAGCACCCCUUUCAAAACCUAAAGACCUAGGCAGAGUAUCUGGAGAACACAGUACCAACCUCGACAUUAUCUCCAUACAAAUUAAGUUUAUGGUUCUCGUUAUUGAAAACUUGUGCUGGAUACUUGUUUCUAGAAUUACAAGCCAUGUCAUCUACCAGCAUAAGUAUUAUCCUCUCAUCGGGUAUUCCUAGCCGCUUAACUGUUCUGAAAAAUCAAGUUAAAGUGCACAGUCGACAAAUGAAAACAGGAGGGAAGAGGAAUGCAAAUUACUUCACAAGAUGAUGUGAAAACAACAAGCUAAUUGCUUACCUAUAUAAGGAUAAUGUGUUAGCCAUAUGCCGAUAAUUGAACCUGAAAAAACCAAUUCAGCAAUUAAUUCAAUUGGCAAAGGACAUGGAAUCGGUUUUUAGUUCAUCAAAACAAUGCCAUUUGACAUGGCUCAAGUAUCUAGUAACUUUAUGAAUCCAAGCAAUAAAAAACUUAAAGAAUCAAGCUUAUCAACAAGAAUGCAGUAAUAUUAGCUGAAACUCAGAAAUUACAAUCACAAGAAAGAGAAAUUGUAACAUGGGUAUUGUUUAUCAUCAACAUUGUUACAUGGGUAUAAUUUAUAAUGUAAUGGCAAAGCGUUAAUUCUUCCCAAAUCAAAUCAAAAUCGGGAAAAAAAAUUAUAAAAACUGCAAAAAAUAAAAUAAAAUAAAAAUGAAGGUGAUUUAGUUACCAGAAGCGAGAAGUGCAAACCAAGACAGCCCAAUUGUUAGUGUGCAUGGUUGUCUCAGCUGACGCUCUGUACGAAAUCGAAAUAGAGAGAAUAAAAAACAACAGCAUCGCCGCCAAACUUUUGAAACCAAAUGAAUUGUACAUCUUGAACCGGACCAUCAUUUUCUCGCGAAUUUUAAUUUCUGGGUCAAAAACUCAAGACUGUGAUUUAAAUUUUAUUCGUUUUUUUUUCCUUUCCCUCUUUUGCUGAGGAUGAAAUCUAUUGUUGCAGUUUCAGUGACGCAAACAGUGCUCCGGCCGGAUCCACGUCCCGGAGCUGCAAAUAGGAUACAAAUUUGGUCCGCUCCCGUCUCGUAAUCCGACGCAUAAUUGAUCUUUAAGCCACCAAAACUUUUUGAAAAUUCCUGGGCAAUGGGAAAUGCUAUUUCCACAAAAUUAAAUUACAAGCUCAUUUUAAUUUAGAUUCCUAUAAGUUAAUUCUGAGUUUACUAAACUAGAAUAAGAAUGAGUUGAAAUUGGAAUGCACGUGAAUGAGAAUGAGCUGGAAUAGAAAUAGGAAAUGAUGAGAAUUAGAAUAAAUUAUUUACUUGAACAGUAGGAAAUGAGCUAAAUUGUCAUAAAUAUGUUUACUUUGUCUUGUAAUCAGAAUCAGAAUGAGUUAGAUUGUAACAAAUUAUUAAAAAAUACUUAAUAAAUUAUUGUCAUAAUUAUUAUUUUAUAUAUUAAUUAUAGUGAUUAUUUAUUCAAAAAUUAUUAUUAUUAUUAAUUAUUGUCAAUAAUAUAUUGAUAUAUUAAUUUAUUAUAAUAAUUAUAUUAAUAAUUAUUAUAAAAUAUAUCAAUUAAUAAUAUUAAUAUUACUUAUUUAAUUAUAAUAAUAUAUUAAUUAUUGGGAUUAUUUAUUCAAAAACUAUAAUUAUUAAUAUAUUUUUGUUAAUAAUGUAUUAAUAUAUUAAUUAAUAGUAAUAAUUAUAUUAAUGAAUUAAUUAUAAUAAUAUAUGAAUUAAUUAUAAUAACUAUAUUAAUGAUUAUUAUGAUAGUAUAAUUAUUAAUUAAUUAUAAUAAUAAUAUAUUAAUUAUUGUAAUUAUUUAUUCAAAAACUAUAAUUAUUAAUAUAUUAUUGUUAAUAAUGUAUUAAUAUAUUAAUUAAUCGUAAUAAUUAUAUAUAUUAAUUACUAAUAAUAAUAAUAUAUGAAUCAAUUCUAAUAAUUAUAUUAAUUAUUAAUAAUAAUAAUUAUAGUUUUUAUAUUAAUUAAUAGUAAUAAUUAUUUCAAUUAAUUAAUGAUAGUAUAUGAAUUAAUUAUAAUAACUAUAUUAAUAAUUAUUAUAAUAGUAUAGUAGUAAAUUAAUUAUAAUAAUAAUAUAUUAAUUAUUGUGAUUAUUUAUUCAAAUAUUACAAUUAUUAAUAAUUCUUAUUAAUAAUGUAUCAAUAUACUAAUUAACUAUAAUAUACUAAUUAAUUAAUUAUAAUAAUAUAUUAAUUAAUUAUAUAUUUGGCUUUUUUAUUUUUUAUAUUUAUAUUUUUGAUUUAAAGGAGUGGCAUUUUAAGAAAAUUUGAAUGUCAAUGGCAGCAAAAUGGGAACUCUAGGGAAUGGGAGAUUGAUUCUCACCUUCGCCCAUCAUAAUCAAUCUCUCAUUCCCCAUUCCCAAAUAGUGGUGGGCCCCACGAUUUCGAUUCUAGUUCUUACUCCAUUUUUGCGAAGUAAAUGCCGUCAAUCAUUCCGAUUCCGGAUUCCGAUUCCCCAAUCCGAGAAGUAAAUGCACCAUAAGUAAACAAUUUAUUCUUAUUCUCAUUCUUCAUUCCAAUUCCAACUCAUUCAAAUUCUAGCGUAAUUCGAUUUCAUUUUUUUUUUGUUUUUUAAAGUUAAAUUCAUUUUGUAUUUUGUGAUUUUUUUCAGCUUUUAAUAUAUAUAUAUGUUACUAAUCCUUAAUUGAAAUGGAUGGAAUUAGAAUGUUAAAUGGGAAUCAAAAUAAUUUUUUUACUUUACUCAUAGGAAUUGGAAUACAAAUGAGUUGUAUUACUAUUAAUGUGUUUAUUUUAUCUUGCAAUCAAAAUAGAUUAUUACAAGUUAUUAAAAUAACCUAAGUUGAUUAUUGUCAUUAUUUAUUAUAAUAAUUGUGAUUAUGAUUAUUAUCAUUCAAUAUAAUUAUUAUUAAUAA